rnacentral:lncRNA from 1 species
UUUUUUUUUUUUUUUUUUUUUGCAUUCACUUCUUUAUUUAACUAAUCAUCCUUAAAUAAAUCAUAUAAAAUCAUGCACAAUCAUACAUAUUUUGAAGAAUAAAAAUAUUUUCAAUUAUCUAACAAAUUAUCAAGUAAGUUCAAUUAUAUUCAUGAAUAGAACCCAAAUUGAUGGUUAUUGAAUCUCAUAUCUUUAAUAUCUUCAUAAACUUUUAAAAGUUUUCUAUAGUUAUUAUACAUUGAAACACCACAUAAAAUAUUUUUAUUCCCCUUAAAAUGCCUCAAUGGUAAUCUCUUGUUAUUCAAACUAAUAUGUGACUUUCCUUUAUUAUCAUAUUGACUUUCGAAUCUUAGAGACACAUUUCUAAUAUCAUUUUUCUUAUAAACAUUUUAUUGUUCUUUGUGAAUUAUAGAUUUAUACUUUUUGACUCACAUCAUUUUAGCUCCUCCCUUAAACUCUCUUUUCUUAAAAUAUGUAUCAAUUUUAUAACCAAAAUUUCCACAAAAAUAGCAUGUUAAUUUAUACUUAAUAAAACUUUUCUUAUUAUCAUUAGAAUUUUGAAAUCAUUCACUUUUAUAACAAGUUUUGAUUUCUUCUUUUCCAUUGGUAAACUCAUUUAAGCAGAAACUCAAAUUAUCUAUUCUCUUCUUCAUAUUUACAUGUUCAAUUUUUAAAGAUUCAUAAACCUUCAUUUUUUUUCUUUGAAUUUUUCAUUUUCUUUCUUUAAUUCUUUAUUUGAAAUUUCAAUUUCUUUGUGGGACUCUUUUACCUUAUCAAUAUUGACCUUUAACUUCUCAUUUUCUACUUUAAUUUGCUUUUUCUCCAAAAUACUAGGAGGAAAAGCCCAUGCGACUCGCAGGAGUACCUGUAAUUAAGAAUGGUUAAUAAUUAUUAUUUGAUAUUUUGUAGUGUAAGAAUUGAAGUAUGACAAUUUUAUUAUGUGAUAUUAAACAGAAAAAUUAUAAGUUACAUAUUGAGCCAAAAAAUAUAAUAUGCAAUGAAACAUAAUUAUAAGAUACGAUCAACCACUUUGCAUAUAACUUAAUAGAAUGAAAGACCUACUUAUAUCUGCUCAUGCACUUUAGGGAUAUUAAAAUUUAUUGUUUAGUUUAAAUUUGAUCUUGAUAUGAAGGCAAUCCGCCACAUUAUCUUGUUAUAUAAGUGAGAUUUGAAUAAUUAGCAUACUUGAAGAAAUCAUUACUAGCGGAAUUUCGGUUCUUGUUAUAUAGAUUCCAAGGACAUAUCAUCACGAAACCUCAACAUUAAUCAAUCAAUCAAUUAUGAUUUAUUGUAUGAUUUAGGACAUAUAACAAAGCAUCUCCUUCUCGAUAGGAGUUACAAUAAUGAAACAUCAGUUUUUGAUCUAGUUGCAAAGAUAUACAACAACUAACACACUAAUUUAGAGGAAUAAUUACCUUAAAAAAAAGUACUAAAGCAUCUUAACCCACUCAAUUCAAGAAAACAAUUAAAAGUAAUGGAGUACAUACUUUAGAUUUGCAACCAAAUAGUUUUAAGUAGAUAGUUAAACAUAUUGGCAAAUUAAAUGAAGUGAAAAUUGCCUAAAUGGAAUCGUCAAUAAAGUAACAAAUGAUUUGAAAAUUAUCGUAACUAUAGUUAAAACAACAAAAGAAGUAGAUGCAAUCUAUAUAUGGAAAAAUUUAUGAUGAUAAACUUAUUUUAAACCACAAAUAACAAUUAACAAACGUGAUAUCCUCUCUAUCAAACCUGUCUAACAUGGACAAUUAAAUUAAAAUACUAAAAAAUUAUUGCACAUACAACUUGCAAGAUUACAUAUUUCUUACAAUAAAAAAGGAGAUUGGUUAAAGAAAACAUACCUAUUGAGAAAGGUGUUGCAAAAUGAAAAAGAGGAGUAGCUAAUAUAGCAAUAUCCGAAUUCAAUAAACUGCAUAAUUGUGGUGGAACAAAUUUGUAAGUAAAUGAAAUAAAUUUGAAUAGAUGGGUGUUACUAUAACGCCCCCGCUUCUCCCAAGAGCGAACCUAAAGGUAUCCACGGAACGUCUGCCCAACUCUCGCCAGGAGUCGGUACGAUUCCCGUUCAAGUUUAACAUAAUAAUAACUAUUAAUACCAGACAACGUAAGAAAAGAAGUCACUUUUAUAUAUAGAUAUUCAAUCUUACAUUACACGUUUCAAAAUACAUCCAUUUUUUCAAAAUAAACAACUCCCAUAAGAUGUCUAGUCAAGUACAUUCCCAAAAUUCUAGUCAAAAGAGCCAUCAAGUAGGCUUCUACAUAAUUCCUUCCUUUUCAACUCCUGUUAAGGAAAACAAAUCUAACGGGGUGAGUGGAUGCUCGUAAGUCCAAGAAAAAAAAAUAAAACAUGCACAUGCGAACACGUAGUUCAAGUUACAAGUAACAAUAAAAUAUGUAAAAGAAUUAAAUCCAGAAAAUUCAAAUAAUUCACAAUUUAUAAUAUAACACACUUGUUAAGGAUACGGAAGCUCUCAAGAGCUAAUUUCCACUUGUUUCGCCAAGACUCGAUCCGAUACUCCCUCAUGAUGACACUCCAUCAUUCGGGUAGGUAUUAAAUCCGUAGAAACUUCAUUUACUACUUUUUUCAUCCACCAUUCCACGCUCUUGGAUCUGUAACUAAACACGCACGAAAAGGGCGAUACUACACGAGUAUGCCAAAGAAGAUCUCAAAAGAUCAAGUUUUGUUUUUAAGAACACGCACUAAAAGGGCGAUACUCCACGAGUAUGUCGAACAAGAUCUUAAAAGAUCAAGUUGUGUUUUGUAAUAUUCUUAUGAUUCAUCAAACUUCUUGACCAAGUCCAUGUCGACUCGAGUCGCAAGAUUGGCCAAUGAGAUUUGGGCGUCCCCACGAGUACACGUAUAAUAGUCGACGAAAUUCACUUCGAUCGACAUAUAAGUCAUGUUUACGUAUAAUACACGUAUAAGUCAAAUAAAGGAAAACGAGUGCGAUAAAGUACACACUUGCCGCAUCAAGUUAUGUUCACGUAUACAAGUAAGAUUAAUCAAGUAAACACGAGAAAUCUUGCACUUAACACUCACCGAUUCAAAAUAAGUGAGCAAACAAAGUUUUAAAUGUCCGCAUCGAGAUUCCCUUCGAACCUUGAGCGCCUGAACAAUUGACAACUAUUUCUCACUCACAAUCAUGUAUUAAUCAAGAAAGAAGGUACACUCAUUUAGACUAGUCAAUACCUCAAACAAAGAACCUUAGCCACUUAAAAUAAAUGUUCAAAAGUGAGGUUUUAUUAACACAAGAAAAACUGAUUUCCUUCAUGAAAUCGAGUUUAAAACGAUCAAUCAUUAUCAAAAGAUAGGGAAGAGUUUCCAAAACUCAUUUCCCAUCGUGUCAGAAAAUUUAAGUUUUGCACGUCAAACUUAGAAAAAUCAGAACUUGCACUCAAUAGGUCCAAAAUUAGAAAAAUUUAUACCGUUGGAAUCUUGGUUCAAAGUAAAAAGUUCCCAAAAGACACCAUUCCAAGAUUCUAAACGGAAGAUAUUCAAAUUUCAGUUUAAAGUGGCUGACUUGAGCAUACAAGACAGUUUCGAUCAUGUUUUCGGUAAACUUUGAAAAUUAGGCAAAAUUCACAGAAAAUGAACUAGCCUCUAAAACUUGUAACACAACAAUAAUUUCAAUUAAUGUUUCAACCACAAUAAGCGGAACUAAAUUCGGAGUUUUGAGUGCCAAAAUAUAGCAGCUCAAAGUUGGCCAAAAUUGAAGACUAUUCUGUGGAUUUUCCAGAUUUGUAAAACAAAUUUUGGGACUUCAGUUGGAUAUCGAAAUGGUCUUAGAAUAACACCAAAUUUAGUACAAUUCAACUUCCAUAUAAGCACUACUUCUCUAUCAAAUUUCACGUAAAAACUCGUACAGGAAGGUAGUUAACAAAACUACCAAAAUUUAAGAAAUUUCCCAAAGCAAGUCUGUCUUUUUUGUUUUCUUUCCUUUUCAAACAUUUUGCACCACGAAAUCAGUCCCAUUUUGGUUCAUUUGUGAAACCCAGAUCCAAGAAACAUUUCAAAACUAAUUGAUAGUUGGUUGACAUCAAAAUUUUCAAAGCAAAGCAUCUAACAAACAACCAAAUCAGUUGGCCAGUAAAAAGUAGGGUUUUUCCAGCUCUGCUGCAGUUUACAAAUUGUACCAUAUCUCACACAAUAUAACUUAGAAUUGAGAAUGGUUAGUGGCAUUGAAAACUAGAUUCAAAAGGCUACAUUUCAUCAGAAGAAGUAGUUUUGAAAAUCAGUUCAUAGGUAGCUCGAAUUCAAGCAAGAAGUUGCAGCUUCUUACUACCAUUCGAACAGAACAGGAAAUUUUGGUGAAUCACUACGGAUCACUCAGUGCGAACUAAAUGGUGUAUUUUAUAUUGUUGGAAAGCUACAAUUUCUAGUUUCAAAUGCCACAAACAGCACUCGAUUUCGACGUUUGUACAAAAAGAUAUGUUCGAUCAAUGGGACACUGUUCAAGCUGUCCGAACACAGUUUCCAAAUUUGAUUAAAUUUCAAAAUUUCAUGUUUUGUUCAACAAAUUCAAAUGAUUUUUAGUAGAAACUUUCAACACACCAUAUACAGCAUAUAUACAUUAUUUUCAAAGUCAUUUGAGCAUCAAAAAUUCGAACUAAAUGCUCGGCACAAACAGGACAGAUUUCGGUCAGCAACCAUGCGAAGUUUUCCUUCAACUUUCCUUCGAUUCUAUAUCCAUAAUCAUCUUAACCAACACUUAAACAACUCAAAUCAAACAUUAUAUCAUCAUAUCAGCCCAUACAACCAAGGUGAAAAUUCAUAAAACCCAAAUCAACCAUUCUAACCCAAGUAACAACAACAAUAAUGAAGCUACAAGCUUCAAAGCUAAGAAUAAAAUCCAUUAAAGCCAAGAAUGAAAGAUUGGAUGGUGUUGGAUGGUUACCUCCUAGCUUUAAGAGAAACCAGAAUUUUUUGAUCACUAAAACUUCAAAAAAAUCGCCAAGAUGAAGUCUUUCUUCUAGCUUAAGUAAAUUCCCAAGUGAUUUUGAGGUUGGAUGGUGAUUUGUGAAGGAUUUGGAGCAAAAUUUGAAGUGAUGUGGUGUAGAGCUUUUCUUCUUCUUCUCCUUGAAGAGUUUUGGCCAGCUUGAGGGGAGGGGAGAGAGGGUGUGUUGAUGAAUGAAGUUUCUUGAAGAAGGUUGGGUGAUUUGUGGUUAAAAUUUGCACAAAAGUCAACUAUGAAUAGUACUCGCGCGCAAGGGUUUCGUGUCCGUUUUCUCUUGGGUUUGUUUCACUUGUGCAUUAAACCUCUAAUGUCCUUCCCUUAAUAUUAUAAUUAUUCACUCUUAGUAGUCUAGAAUAAAUUUCUUAAAUCUUCAUUAGGUCGAUUUGACGCGAAAACGCGAACUUUUGAUUCACGCGCGAUAAGACAAAAAGUAAAAGGAAUUCAUGUAACGAUAAUAUAACUAACUAAUAUUAGGGUAAUUAAUCUUAAAAAUAACUAUUUUAAAAUGAAACAUGAGUCCUCAAAUUUUCAAGAUCAUUGCACUCUCGGAUCGAAUAUUGCCUCGAAAACGUGAAUUCGUUAUUCCUUACCAAACUAGCUUCCGAAAAAUAAAUUUUUCUGACGAAAUGUCUUAAAAACAUAAAGGAGACAUAAAUCUAUAUAAAUAGAUUUAAAAUGGUUGAAAUAAAUUAUUUACAAAAAAUGAGUGAAUAAAUAUUUAAAUCGCCUGUAAAUAAAAUAAAAAUAAGAAAAAUUUUCGGAUCCUCACAUCCUUCCCUUCUUAAAAAGAAUUUCGUCCUCGAAAUUCACAUAUAGGAUAUUAUUAUACCCAUUAAUAGUCAUGUUUAUCAGAUCAAUCAAUAACUUAUACUUUUCAACCCAUAUCUCACAAUUUCUAGUCACCCAAUUAGCAGUCAAAUUUUGAUUCAAUCUCAUGAAUCUAGGGUUUUACAAAAGAGUGUGUCAUACUAGGGUCACUUAGAACUUUAGAUAAACAAUGAAAAGCAAGAAUUAUAGCUUCAAUGACCUUAGCAGGAUCAAAAACUUGUUGAUAGUUUAAUGUAUAAAUCCUAGCCGGCGCUUUAGGUCGACUGCCUCCAACACUAGAUUGUUUAGAUACCGACUUGUCUGGCCGUUGAGCACUUCUUCCUUCCUUCGGUAUACUCGGACAAUUUGCGACCUGAUGUUCAGUGCUGCCACAAUAUAAACACUUUCCCGAUUUCUUCCAACACUUAUUCUCUAUAUGGUUAGGCUUACGACAAUAACCACAAAUAACUUGAGAAGCCACAACUUGAUCACUUAGAGGUGUUCCUCUUGAUUGACCUCAUCCAUUGUGGCCUCCUUUUGAUUGACUCUUUUUUGGUGUACUAGAUGUCUCUACUCCUCCCAUUUCUUUUUCCUUUUUAGAAGGUGGGGCACCCUUAUCUGCUUGUCCAGGAGGAUGACCAGGAGUGCCCCUUUUCUUGGCAUGAAAAUCCUUAACUUGCAGCCUUGCACUUUCGACUCUCUGCACAUUCUCUAGAGAUUCGAUGAAAAUAGAGAUUUGGACUGCUGCUAACCUCUCUUAAAUCUCCACGUUAAGUCCCUAUACAAAUCUCCUUAUCCUUCUCUUCUCAAUGGCUACCAAUUUUGGGACGUAUCUAGAAAGUUUAGUGAAUUUUUCCUCAUACUCAACCACACUAGACGCCCCCUGCUUCACUUUUAUGAAUUCGUCCUUCCAUUUCUCUUGAACCAAGAGCGGGAGAAACUUCUCAUUAAACUCUCUUAAAAGGUUUUUCUAGGUCCAAGAGAUUUGUGUUCUUUCCCAUUUUCCCCUUAUCACAUCUCACCAAGCACGUGUUGUACCCUCAAAUUGAAAGACAGCAAAAGCCACUCGCCUCUCCUCCGCAUAAUCUAGGGUGGCGAAAAUAUUGGUCAUUCUUUCUAACCAAUUCUCCACUAACUCGGGGUCAGGUCCUCCAAUAAAUUUGGGUGGAUUAAAUUUCAAAAAUCACUCCAAGGCUCUAUCUUCCUCUCUAUCCUGGGCCCCAGGUUGACUAAGUGGCCCUGGACCCUGUCUCUCAACUAACCAUUCAAGGAUAUUAGUCAUUUUAUUAAUGGCAGUAGCCAUUUGGUUAUCCUCUACAUUUUCUUGUCAUUGGGUCAGUCCAGUUGCCGAUCUUUGUUUAUUCUCUUGAGGUUGGUUUUGCUUAGUUCCUCGCCCACGACCUCGACCACUCCUACGUCCGUCCAUAAUCCUAGUUAUGCCUAGCGCAGGAAAUAAAAGUAAUUACGAGAGAAAACGCUUAAAAUAAGAGCCAAUCAUGAAAAUAGUGAAAAUCACAAUAAUUAACACAUAUUUACAUUUUAAGAUCCAUACAAUUAGUAAAUCAUGGAGUAUUAUAAAAAUAUAGUACACAAGUGCCAUAAAAGUACUUUUAGUCAUGCAUGACUAAAGUAAAGCCAAGUGCCUCAAAAGUAGACCAUACAAUCAGACAAAAAUACAAUGGUCUUGGCACUAGCAUCACUCUAGCUAUUCUAACUACAAAAGUCAAAAGUCUGUCACUCUAGGUUUAGUCCACAGUAGGGUUAUCAGGUGGAACCUCCUCCUCAGGAUCCUCCUUCUCAGGAGUACCCUCAGGAGCCGGACUCUGUAUAGUAUCCAUCACAUCAUCAAUUAGCAUAGAGGUGUCAGUUAGAAUCUCGGAAGCCCGAUCUCGGACCUCCUCGACUAUCCUAGUGAGUCGAGCUCUAACCCUCCGAAUCUCGUCACGUGCGGUCUCAGUCCUAGCUACCUCGUCCACCAUAGUCCCCUCCUGCUCUGUGAUCCUGUCGCCCUGAGCAUCCUCUAUAGCGCUCAGCUCCUUAACCUCCUAAAGUAGCGCUCGAUUGGUAUUCACCAACUGACGACGCUCGUCGUCCAGUGAUGGUACGAGGUCAUUAAGGUACGUGUACGUCACCCUACAGAGGCAUCAAGGAACCCUAAAAGAAGGCGAGUAAUGCACACGAGCUCCUCCACCAAGAGUUAGGUAGUAAAUAGGCUUAAGAGGUUCUACAUGACCAUUGGCAUGACCGUGACCAUUAGUGGCAUGUCCAUUUCCAUUAUCCAUCCCUGCAAAACAAGCACAAUGUCCAUGUUAAAAAUUUAAAAUUACUAACUUGCUCAAACAUUACUUAAGGUACAACUAAAUUAUCUAAUUCCGAAUCUUAAGUGUAAAGCCUCUAAGAUAUCUCCCCAAAUAAAUCUCUAAACCUAGGCUCUUUGCCACCAAACGUCAUUCAAGAAACUCUCAAGUACUAAUUCUCUUUAACCAUCGGAAUACAAUAGGUUAAUAGUCAAGUGAAUCCCACGGUCCGGUAUCCUAAACUUUUAGCCUAAGAUACACUACAAAUAUUUGAAACGUAAACUCUGAUACCAACUGUGACGCCCCCACUUUUCCCAAGGGCGAAUCCAAGGGUAUCUGCAGAACGUCUGCCAUCCCUCGCCAGGACUCGGUACGAUUCCCGUUCAAACUUAAUAUAAUAAUAGCUGUUAAUACCAGACGAUGUAAGAAAAGAAGUCACUUCUAUACAUAGAUAUUCAAUCUUACAUUACACAUUUCAAAAUACAUCCACUUUUCCAAAAUAGACAACUCCUAUAAGAUGUCGGUGACAGCCCCACCUCCCCCUAAGACGAACUAAAGGGGUCAGCGAACCGCCUGCCUAACUCUCGCUGGGACUCAGUCGUUCACUUCAAUUCUCAACCGAAAUCAGAAUAAACCAAGAAUAAACAUAACAACGAUCCAAAACUUAAAGCAAAACUUAUAUACAUUGCUAACUCAAAAGGGAGUACAAAUAUCGAAUAUACAAAGGUUCUCAAUUCACCAUACAUCCAACCCGUGCCGAGCACUAGGGCGAGAACCAUUAUAAAAUCAAAGAAACUAGUCUAGACUAGUCUCUACCGAGCUCUCGUCCUUGCUCGUCUUCCCCUGUUAAGCAAAACAAAACUAAAGAGAUGACCUAAAAACUCAGUGAGGUUCCGAACACAUAAACAAACAAUCAAUCCAAUACAUUAAACAUAGAAUAUCAAUAGUUCAAGAAAUAUUUACAAUGGAAAGCGAUAAUAACACAUUCAUUAAAAGGAUACGGGCUCACAUGGAGCUAUUCGUUCGUUCGUUCGUUCGCUCUCCUGUCAUUCCCCUUAUUCCUCCAAUUAUUUGAAAAUGCAUUUUGAUAAGUAAAACCCUUCAUUUCAUUCAUUGCCACUCGUUCAUUCAUUUCAUUUCAACCCCUUCCGGACGUUGGCCGGACUCUACCCGACAACAAGGUAAUAUUCGAGUAUACCAACGUUCACACCCAAGGUCACCAUAUCGCUCGACCGAAUUCGCUUCUGGUUCGAGUUGAUUGGUAACGAAGGGCAGGGCCCAAUUCGGUCAAAAGACUUAUAUCAUGCACAACUAAUGUAUCAAUCAUUAAAUCAUUGAAAAUUUCACGUUUCAUUUAGGUCGAGCGCGAUAAAAUACACGUUCACCAAGAAAACUCAUUUUGAAAAUCCUUGAAAGCAUUUAACACAUUAUCAAACAAUAACACAAACCAUGAAGUCAAGGAAAAUAUAGCAAACAAGGAACACUCACCUAUUUAACCAAAAUAACGUCCAAAGUUUCCUUCCGGAUACACUCUCAAUCACCAAGGUAUCCUAAUAUAAUCAAAUGAACACAUUAUGCUUCAACCAUCAAAGAUGUAAGUGAGUCAAAGAAAAGUCGAAUACGUACUAGAACAAAGUAUAAAUAUGAUUUUGGUAGUGAAAAGAGUACAUUGAAACCAAAGAACAUAAGUAAAAUACUUGUAAAACUUAGACUCACUUGUAAAACUUUAAAAUAGCUAUUUGAGUCGAAGUGGCAAAGAAAAUGUAAAUACCCUAGAUGGUUUACGUGGCAUUCGCUCUCAAGCCUUACUCAAGUCGCAAGUAUAUCGACCUAGUUCUCGAGCAUAAAUUUGGGCAGCACGUCCUUUGUAUUUACCUAUUUUUCAGCCAUUUAUGGUUUCAUUCUUUUCUUCAAUCAAACCCAAAGUCAUAUACAAAAUUAUCUUCUUUCAAUAGCCAUUCCAUAGGUUCCAAGUCAUACAAGUACAAAAUCAAGCUAGGAGCAUGUGCGGAAAUGAAGUUUGAGUCAAGAAACAAAAGACAGAUUUGACGUUAUUUUGCGUAACGGACACAACUGAAUCUACGCUUAUCAGAUUGGGGGUGCAAUUUAUACAGUUUCAAAUCUAAGGAAGAGAGCUACAACUUUUAUGAAGACUACCUAAUCCAGUUCGUAGUGUAUCUAGGUCAAAAUUUGAAAUUACUGAACCAGAAUCGCACAAACAGGUCAGUUAACCGCGUUAUGUUUAAAAGACAAUAACUCAGGCUACCAAAGCCCAAUCGAGAUUAUUCUAGGGGCGUUGGAAAUCUAAAACAUAGUAAUACAACUUUUAUGUUUUGGCCAAAGGCUAAUUCAAUACACAUCAGGGUGAACAAACACGGUUAGUGUUGUGAAAUAUCAAAAUUGUCCAUUGGACUAAACCUAUGAGAGUCAAGGGUAUUUUUACCUUUUUAUAGGCUACAUUGCUCCGAUUGAGCUGAAAUUUUGCAGGCAACUAUAAAAUAUCAUUCCCUACAACUUUUAUGUUUUGUGAUAAGGCUAUUUCACCCUCUAACAUGGCCAAAUAGAUUCGGGCAGAACAGGGCAGAUUACUACCAAUGGAACCCUAAGCUGGAAUUUGUACCCACAAACCAGAAUUUUCUUUAAACCAAGUCAACUACCAUCUAAACACUAGAUAUUUCAUAUAUCAAAACUAUCAAACCAUGACUAAUCAUCAAUCUUCAUAUUAUGGCAGAAAUUUCACCAAGAAAACUGAAAUAUCCAUAAACCCGCUACAACCCAUGCAAUUUUCUCACAAAAUUACUAAUUCAACAACUAUAACCACAAAUUGCCCAUUAAUUGAAGUAAAGAAGGAGUUUCUUGAAAAUUUACCUUAUCUCCCUAAGGAAGAUGGUAGCUUAAACUUUAUCCUCCAAAAAUAACUCCACAAACACCCUGAAAACCACCUUACCUAGCACUUUUAUGGUGGGUUUUGCAAAAUUUCUGGUUAGAGUUCAAUAUAGAGCAAGAAAUUAAAGUGAAAAAUGAAGUUUCUCUCCCUUUCCUUCCCUCAAAAUUUUCGGCCAGCUUAUGGAGAAGAUGAAGAUGAUCUUGGUCAAAUUUUAUGUUUAGUAAAGGUGGAGAAAAAAAUAGUCAAAGUCCAACACCAACCCAAUCGCGACACUUGGCACCUUUUGUUUUCAAACUUAUCCUCUUGUUUCUCAAUGGUAAUCUAUCUAACUAACCUCCAAUUAUCUCCUAACAUCUUGUAAAAUAAUAACACUUAGCAUAAAACUCACUUAGUCACCAAAAUUAUAUCGCACUAGCGGGUCCCACGUUUAUAACGCACUUCAAACUAACGUACACUAACUCAUACUGGGAAAAUAGUUAAUAAUUUUAAAACUAUACUUACCUGUAAAAAUGCAUAGAAAUUUUAAUAUUUCCAAGGAGAGUAUAAAAUGUAGGCAAAGGAAUAAAAUAAUGCUGAGAAAAUGUGAAAAUUUUUGGGUUCUCACACUUUCUCCCCCUUAAGAAAUUUCGUCCUCGAAAUUUUUACCUCCCAUUGCCUCAGAGGACCACGGAACUUGUUGCUGAUCUACGGCAUAAACCUGUGCUGAUACUUUUGUUCGAUUUCCUCUUUUACUAGUUUGUUUCGGCUUGGUUCCUUUCACUUGUCGAGUACUACCCUCUCGUGGCUGUUUUUUCGGGCAAUUGUUAAGUUGAUGAUUGCGACUCCCACAAAUCAAACAUUUUUUCCCUUUCCGCCAGCAAUCAUUCUCAGUGUGAUUUGCCUUUCCACAGUAUCCACAGGCCAAUCGAGGAGUUACUGUUUGACCUUCUCGAGAAAUGUCCUUUGAUCCGAUCUGACUUCCUUUCGUAGACCUUUCAUCUAAUGCUCUUAAUGUCCAAGAUGGGUGAGGUGAAUGGUUCACUUUUUGCACUUUGGAGAGCAUUAUCUUUUCUCCGGAUUCCUCAGGUAUGCUGCUGGAUGUAUCUCUUUUCCGCGUUUGAAAGGCUUUUACUUGGGUUUUCGCAUUUUCAAUUAUUUGAACCUUCUCAAGAGCCUCUGUAAACGUAUUAACUUGAACCGCCGCUAAUGCCUCCUGAAUUUUCAAAUUUAGUCCUUGUAUAAAUCGUCUUGUUCUCCUUCGCUCCGUAACCACCAAUUCGGAAGUGAAUUUAGACAGUCUAGUAAAUUUGAUCUCAUAUUCGGCCACACUCAAGGUUCCCUGACGCAACCCAAUAAAUUCGUCCUCUCUUUUUACUUGGACCAAAGGUAGAAGAUACUUUUCGUUAAAUUCCCUUACAAAGUUCGCCCAUAUCCAUACCAUCUGUUCUCUUUUCCACUUGGCCUUAAUUACAUUCCACCACGCACGGGCUGGUCCUUCAAAUUGAAAUACAGCAAAAUUUACUUGUCUUUGCUCUAAUUCAAAAUCGCGAAGAUAUUAAUCAUUGCCUCCAACCACUGCUUAGCUAUAUCCGGAUCAGGCACUCCUUGAAAUUUCGGAGGUAGAAACUUUUGGAACUUCUCAAGAACCCUAUCCUCUCCUAUCUCAAGAUUCCGAGAUUGAUUCACUGGCAUUUGACAUUGCUGAUCUACCAGUCGUGUUGGGAUAUUUGUCAUUUUGUUGCAUCGCCGUCGCCAUUUGAUCUCCGGCCUCAACCCUCGGUCCAUGUUCUUGCUCGGCCAUUGUUUCUCUUUCUUCUCUCGGUUCUUGAACUUGCCUAACCCUACGGCCAUGACUAGCUCCACGUCCACGACUACGUCUCCCCUCCAUUCCUUUUUUUUUUAUUUUUUCAAAAAGUGAUUUAGUAUGUAACAAAGUAAAUUGACUAGAACGGCAAAAUUUACCACACCAAGUUCACAAAGAAACAUAUCAAGUAGACAAGAUCAAAUGCAACAAGUACUAUACAUGUGGAUAUUACCAUGCCACAAGCCAAAUACACACGGUAGCAGUACAAAGACAAAACAAGAAAACAACACGACAAGCCGUUUCACACUUGGUUAACAUAGCCCUCGUCCGAUCUUUCACUUCACUUUCUAUUUGAACUAAAUGUCCGUUGACCUCUUGUACUCAUUCUAAUCAAACAAAGCCUAUUCAUGUUCCCAAAAUCCAAAUCUCCAAUACUUAACACCGCCCCAACUCUGAAGUACUCGGGCACAAGAAUCCGAAAUAAGAUAAUUCACAUCUCGAGUUGGCCAAUCCCAAGAGUAAACUAUCUACAAUCGAGAUUCCUACCUGACGUACUUAUCAAUUGUCCUCAAAUACCGGGAGAAAGAUUUAAAGCCUAAUAACAAAGCAUGACUCCAUAGCUUAAGCUCAACGAGCACUUAAUCCUUCAUACUUGUUUACCAUUUAGCUCAAUCUCACUCCGCACAGAGACCACGCAAAGCAGGCUUUGAUACCAACUGUGACAGCCCCAUCUCCCCCUAAGGCGAACCAAAGGGGUCAGCGGACCACCUGCCCAGUUCUCGCCGGGACUUAGUCGUUCACUUCAAUUCUCAAUCGAAACCAGAAUAAACCAAGAAUAAACAUAAUAACGAUCCAAAAUUUAAAGCAAAACUUAUAUACAUUGCUAACUCAAAAGGGAGUACAAACAUCGAAUAUACAAAGAUUCUCAAUCCACCAUACAUCCAACCCGUGCCGAGCACUAGGGCGAGAACCAUUACAAAAUCAAAGAAACUAGUCUAGGCUAGUCUCUACUGAGCUCUCAUCCUUGCUCGCCUUCCCCUGUUAAGGUAAAUAAAACUAAAGGGAUGAACUAAAAGCUCAGUGAGGUUCCGAACACAUAACCAAACAAUCAAUCCAAUACAUUAAACAUAGAGUAUCAAUAGUUCAAGAAACAUUUACAAUGGAAAGCGAUAAUAACACAUUCAUUAAAAGGAUACGGGCUCACAUGAAGCUAUUCGUUCGUUCUCCUGUCAUUUCCCUUAUUCCUCAAAUUAUUUGAAAAUUCAUUUUGAUAAGUAAAACCCUUCAUUUCAUUCAUUGCCACUCGUUCAUUCAUUUCAUUUCACCCCUUUCCGGACGUUGGUCGGAUUCCACCCGACAACAAGGUAAUACUCAAGUAUAUCAACGUUCACACCCAGGGUCACCAUAUCGCCUAACUGAGUCCGUUUCUGACUCAAGUCGAUCGGUAACGAAGGGUAGGGCCCAAUUUAGCCAAAAGGCUUACAUCAUGCACAACUAAUGUGUUAAUCAUUAAAUCAUUGAAAAUUUCACAUUUUAUUUAGGUCGAGCGCGAUAAAGUACACGUUCGCCUAGAAAACUCAUUUUGGAAAUCCUUGAAAGCACUUAACAUAUUAUCAAACAAUAACACAAACCAUGAAAUCAAGAAAAAUAUAGCAAACAAGGAACACUCACUUAUUUAAGCAAAAUAAUGUCCAAAGUUUCCUUCCGGAUACACUCUCAAUCACCAAGGUAUCCUAAUAUAAUCAAAUGAAUACAUUAUGCUUCAACCAUCAAAGAUGUAAGUGAGUAAAAAAAAAAUCGAAUACGUACUAGUACAAAAUAUACAUAUGAUUUUGGUAGUGAAAAGAGUACAUUGAAACCAAAGGACAUAAGUAAAAUACUUGUAAAACUUAGACUCAUUUGUAAAACUUUAAAAUAACUAUUUGAGUCGAAGUGGCAAAGAAAACGUAAAUACCCUAAUGAUACGAAAUAUGGGCCGCUUAUAGGCCAUGUUUCGGGCUGCAAGAGAAUGAAUUUUUUAGUAAUAGUUUAGUAGUUUAUUUUUCAGAUUUCUAUUUUAUUUGGUAGGAAUAAGUUCGGUCCAAGACCUCAUGUUGAGUUGGAUCCGAUUUAUAGAGUCUAGGCUCACUAUUACUUAAGUUGGUUAAUUAGCUUUUAUUGGGUUAUGUUGGGCCAGCUUAAAGCCUUCAUUGGGUCGAUUAUAAGCUGUCCAUUAUUUAGCCCUAGCUAUGAUUAGCGAGUCAUUAGUUUAGUUGUCAAAUCGAAUAAGGAAACUUGCAUUGUUUCCAACUUAGAUUAGGUUUGCUUCUUUGUAAGGCUAUAAAUAGCCAAGUUUUGAUGAUUUAAGGUAGACACUUUUAUGAUAAAAAUAUUGAGAGAGUUUUCUCCAUAGCUUUCGAGCAAACCUUGAACAACUUAGAGUUAUACUCUAGUGUUAUUGUUCGGCUUAUCAAUUCAAGAAUCGCACUUGAAUUGUGGCGCCUUCUACACUUGCCUGAGGUUCACUAAUUCGUUUGGUUACGGGUUGAGAUAAUAUCAACAAGUUCGUAGUCACGGGGAUUAGAGGGGUCGUAGGGUUUCCGCUGCUACCGUUCUUGCGUUCGAAGUCAAAUCCAACAAGUGAUCUUGGGUCGCGAAUCUUCCCUCCAACGAGAUUCGUAUCAGCUGGCAUCAGAGCUAGCUUGUUGGUAACACCGUUUAUCCCUCUUUUCAUGUUUUAAUUCGUGUCUGUUUCGUUAGUUCCAAAAAAAAAAUAAUUUUUUGUUGCACGUCGCGUCUGUCCGCGAGUUCCUGGCCGCAAGUUUCCCUCGUUUUCAAUUCUGGUCACCGUUGUUGGUCCUGUCUUGGUGUCAUUUGAACCCCUGGAAUUUCUGGAAAUUAAUUGUGUCGAGUUUGACUUGGUGUGUGCGAGUAUCUCAUCGUUUGUUACACACAAAAAAAAAGGAGAGCUUCCUGGUCGGUGACUUCUUCCAAGUCGUGAAGCUGCGACCUUGGAAUUGUGCAAUCUGUCCGUGUCAUGUUAGUCCAAUCCCGAUUGAGUUUUGUGUGUUGAAUCCACUUGUUUCUUGCUGUCAUUACUUCCACCGCCUGGUUCCAGCAACUAAGGGUGUCCCACGGUGUUGAGAGUUGUGUCCAAGUCUUACAACAAGACAUAGAACCCUUCGGUUUUUGAUCUUUUCCGAAUCUUGAUAUUGUUUUCCUUGUACUGGCCAAUCUGACCGAAUUGCCUCCUUGUUGUUUGUGCAUGUCUAUUGUUCAGUGUUGUUGUCUAUUGCCUUCGUGAUUAAGUGCCAAACCUGAGAAAAAAAAAACAGAAGCAAGACCCGAAGAAAAAAAAAAAUUACAGCCGCAAGGACUUUCUCUUGCUUCUUCAUAGCGUGUCUUGUAGUAUCGUGUGCAAACUUGCCUAGAAAUUUCGAUCACUAGUUGGCUCUAGUUUCUAUCCAGCGUCUGGUUUAAUGCGUGUAGGGUCUUGUGUUGUUUGAGUCGUGAAUCAAAAAAAAAGAAGAAGAAGGCUAGUAGCUAAUCCUUUUCCCUUGCUUGUUCAGUUGCUGUCUGCAAUCUCCAGGUUGUGUGUAUCGUGUCUUGCGUUAGUACAGAUUUGUAUCACCACGUUUGUGCCUAGUUGUUAUCUAUUGUUGCUCAGACUCGCUGUCCAUUGCUGUGAUUGGGUCUUACUCAGAAAACAAGAAUAUAUAUAUAUAUAUAUAUAGAACCAGCCUCUAGUCUUAUUCUUUGUAAAAAAAUUCUGCCCGUCAGUGUUUUGGUGUCUUUCUUGUGCUGUUUUAAUUUCUGGAAAUCCUGGGAAUUAUUUGUGUUAUUCUUAGGCUAUUUGUUUGGUAGUUACAUCAUUUGGGUUUAAACAAAAAAAAAAAUAAAGAGGAGGAAGAAAGGCAAGAAAUCUGGGAUACAUAGCAGUCCAAGGCAUACUUUUUCCCAAGUGAGAUUCGGAUCUCCACUAACUCCCAAAUCUGAGUACCUUCCAAUUUCUUGUUGGACACUAAAUUGGGAACUUCGUGAUUCCUAAAAUCUAACAACCAAAUCCACCGCCCCUACCACAAACACAACCCAAAUAGGCUUCCUCAACCGACCAAGUCAGCUCUAGCAAACUCCCCAAACACACAAACCAAAACUGCCAAUUCCAAACCGAUACUAUACCAUUCCUUGUGCUGACCAGAAACCGACACUAGCACUCAAUUUGUCCCAGUCAGCUUUAUUGUGUUUUCAAGUGUCCAAGUAGGUUCUAGUUUCAGCUUUGAGUCGGUUAGGACAGGGGUAAACAUCCCAAGAAAAUCAAGCAAAGCAAAAGGACCAUCCUCCUCGUCGGCUAGAGCUUUUGAGUGUCCUUCUUAAUUUUUGUAGCUUUUGUGCCCAUUCUUUUUCCAAUUUUUAUUCUUGAAUAUAUUCUACCACUCCAUUCUUAGUGUUUUAAUUUUAUUUUCCAAGCAAAUCUCUACUCUUACGAACCUCAAAUUCUAGCGUGAACUUGUUUUUGAGCUACACUUGAGCACUUGGAGAAUUCUACUUUCUUCAAGGUUUGCAACGGGCUGUGAGAAAAUCUUUGGUGAGGACUACUUGAGGGACAAAUUAGAGUGAAAACACGAGUGACGAGUGCAUACACGUGAGCUUGUGUGUUGUGAGAAAUUUCUCUUCUCUGCUAACCAAUUUUGCAGGUCACUUAACCAUGCCUCGUGGAGUUGCAUCUCAUUCAUAUCAUCAAGAAUUCUUAGAGAACGAGCCUCUUAAGAGGAGGGGUUUCAGGCGAACUACUUUCAAGUACUCUAGUUCCACACGUUCCACCUCCGAGCAUUCACAACAUGAGUUUCAUCCACUUCAGGAGGACAUAGAUCAUUUUCGUGCCUUGUGCGUAUAUGAAAGAUAUAAGCGUACUUGUAAUGAGUAUGAGGAGGAGCAAAGGAGUUUGCGUCGAGCAUCUAAGCCAAGGUCUUCAUCAAGCAAACGAGCAUCAUCUAAAGAGUGUUGUGAGAAUCGAGUCAUGAAUUCUCGAAUUGAAUCAAAGUCUCGUGAAUCAAAGGCUGAUUUCCGAAGCCGGAAUAAAGAAUUAUUUGACUCUAUGAUGGGAGAAAUUCGCCAAGUGCUGAAUUCAUAUUUUGAGCAACUUACUCAUGUGUCAACCAAUGGUGGUAAAGAUGUUCCUUCUAGUCCACCAUUGAUUGAAGAAAUAUCUACGAAUGCUAGCAAUGAACUUGAGAUUGAAAACCUUGAAGUCCCAUCUACACAAGUUAGUUGUCUUGAGCUAGUUAAGAAGGAAGACAAGGGAAAAAGUGCGCUGACUUUGGGCAACAAUGCGAGGACUUAUUUUUCUAACGAACUUACCUUUGUUAUGUUUAGCUUUUCUUCUUUUAUACAGGUUAAGCAAGGAGAGAUUGAGUUGAUCAUGGCAUGUUCUAUCCCCAUAUCCAUUGGCGAAUAUCAGAAUUUUCAUGGAGUUUGCAUCUUAAGUGUUGAAUCCCUUUACUAUCCAUUGAUAUACAACUUCACCCAUGAGCCUGCUUUGCUUGUUGGGAGGAGUAAUGAAGUUUCAAAGGGAGUCCUUGCACUUGAAUUUUGUCCUUUGCCUCCUUACCAUUUUGCAACAAGUGUCCCAAGUGAUGAUCAAUCUAAUGAAGUCGAUCGUGUUCAAAGUGUUCUUCAGUUUGUCAGUUGCAUUAUGGAGGAUCCAAGAAGAUGUGAGCUUGCUGCCAAUGUACCAUACAUUUUACCUUGCAUCAUGGAACCGAAGCUAUAUGUGUUAUCUUCGAGGAGUCAUUGGAGUAAAGCCUUGAGUUUUCCAUGGUUGAUUGUGAGCAUUUUCAAGCUGACCAAGAGACAUGUGCACCAAAUUAUAAUAAUCAUGACGUAUGCAGGUAUCAUUCAUUCUAAGAGAGCCAACAUGUGGAGAUUUGAGAUUUCAUCCUGCCAACUCUUGUUAGUACAAUUCAUUUCCAACCACGAUUUGAGGACAAAUCUUUUUCAAGAGGAGGGGAAUGAUACGAAAUAUGGGCCGCUUAUAGGCCAUGUUUCGGGCUGCAAGAGAAUGAAUCUUUUAGUAAUAGUUUAGUAGUUUAUUUUUCAGAUUUCUAUUUUAUUUGGUAGGAAUAAGUUCGGUCCAAGACCUCAUGUUGAGUUGGAUCCGAUUUAUAGAGUCUAGGCUCACUAUUGCUUAAGUUGGUUAAUUAGCUUUUAUUGGGUUAUGUUGGGCCAGCUUAAAGCCUUCAUUGGGUCGAUUAUAAGCUGUCCAUUAUUUAGCCCUAGCUAUGAUUAGCGAGUCAUUAGUUUAGUUGUCAAAUCGAAUAAGGAAACUUGCAUUGUUUCCAACUUAGAUUAGGUUUGCUUCUUUGUAAGGCUAUAAAUAGCCAAGUUUUGAUAAUUUAAGAGAGACACUUUUAUGAUAAAAAUAUUGAGAGAGUUUUCUCCAUAGCUUUCAAGCAAACCUUGAACAACUUAGAGUUAUACUCUAGUGUUCUUGUUCGGCUUAUCAACUCAAGAAUCGCACUUGAAUUGUGGCGCCUUCUACACUUGCCUGAGGUUCACUAAUUCGUUUGGUUACGGGUUGAGAUAAUAUCAACAAGUUCGUAGUCACGGGGAUUAGAGGGGUCGUAGGGUUUCCGCUGCUACCGUUCUUGCGUUCGAAGUCAAAUCCAACAAGUGAUCUUGGGUCGCGAAUCUUCCCUCCAACGAGAUUCGUAUCACCUAAAUGGUUCACGUGGCAUUCGCUCUCAAGCCUUACUCAAGUCGCAAGUAUAUCGACCUAGUUCUCGAGUGUAAAUUUGGGCAGCACGUCCUUUGUAUUUACCUAUUUUUCAGCCAUUUAUGGUUUCAUUCUUUUCUUCAAUCAAACCCAAAGUCAUAUACAAAAUCAUCUCCUUUCAAUAGCCAUUCCAUAGGCUCCAAGUCAUACAAGUACAAAAUCAAGUUAGGAGCAUGUGCGGAAAUGAAGUUUGAGUCAAAAAACAAAAGACAGAUUUGACGUUGUUUUGCGUAACGGACACAACUGAAACUACGCUUAUCGAAUUGGGGUGCAAUUUACCAUUUUGAAGCUAAGGAAGAGAGCUACAACUUUUAUGAAGAUCACCUAGUCCAGUUCAUAGUGUAUCUAGGUCAAAAUUUGAAAUUACUGAACCAGAAUCGCACAAACAGGUCAGUUAACCGCGCUAUGUUUAAACAAUAAUAACUCAGGCUACCAAAGUCCAAUCGAGGUAAUUCCAGGGGCGUUGGAAAGCUAAGACAUAGUACUACAACUUUUAUGUUUUGGCCAAAGGCAAAUUCAGUACACAUCAGGGUGAACAAACACGGUUAGUGUUGUGAAAUAUCAAAAUUGUCCAUUGGACUAAACCAAUGAGAGUCAGGGGUAUUUUUAUCUUUUCAUAGGCUACAUUGCUCCGAUUGAGUUGAAAUUUUACAAACAACUAUAAAACAUCAUUCCCUACAACUUUUAUGUUUUGUGAUAAGGCUAGUUCAGCCUCUAACAUGGCCAAAUAGAUUCAGGCAAAACAGGGCAGAUUACUACCAAUGGAACCCUAAGCUGGAAUUUGUACCCACAAACCAGAAUUUUCUUUAAACCAAGUCAACUACCAUCUAAACACUAGAUAUUUUAUAUAUCAAAACUAUCAAACCAUGACAAAUCAUUAAUCUUCAUAUUAUGGCAGAAAUUUCACCAAGAAAACUGAAAUAUCCAUAAACCCGCUACAACCCAUGCAAUUUUCUCACAAAAUUACUAAUUCAACAAUUAUAACCACAAAUUGCCCAUUAAUUGAAGUAAAGAAGGAGUUUCUUGAAAAUUUACCUUAUCUCCCUAAGGAAGAUGGUGGCUUAAACUUUGUCCUCCAAAAAUAACUCCACAAACACCCUGAAAACCAUCUUACCUAGCACUUUUAUGGUGGGUUUUGCAAAAUUUCUGGUUAGAGUUCAAUAUAGAGCAAGAAAUUGAAAUGAAAAAUGAAGUUUCUCUCCCUUUCCUUCCCUCAAAAUUUUCGGCCAGCUUAUGGAGAAGAUGAAAAUGAUCUUGGUCAAAUUUUAUGUUUAGUAAAGAUGGAGAAAAAAAUUGUCAAAGUCCAACACCAACCCAAUCGCGACACUUGGCACCUUUUGUUUUCAAACUUAUCCUCUUGUUUCUCAAUGAUAAUCUAUCUAACUAACCUCCAAUUAUCUCCUAACAUCUUGUAAAAUAAUAACACUUAGCAUAAAACUCACUUAGUCACCAAAAUUAUAUCGCACUAGCGGGUCCCACGUCUAUAACGCACUUCAAACUAAUGUACACUAACUUAUACUGGAAAAAUAGUUAAUAAUUUAAAAACUAUACUUACCUGUAAAAAUGCAUAGAAAUUUUAAUAUUUCCAAGGAAAGUAUAAAAUGUAGGCAAAGGAAUAAAAUAAUGCUGAGAAAAUGUGAAAAUUUUUGGGUUCUCACAAUGUCUAGUCAAGUACAUUCCCAAAAUUCUAGUCAAAAGACCCAUCAAGUAGGCAUCUCCAUAAUUCCUUCUUUUUCAGCUCCUGUUAAGAAAAACAAAUCUAACGGGGUGAGGGGAUGCUCAUGAGGCCAAGAAAAAAAAACAUGCACAUGCGAACACGUAGUUCAAGUUACAAGUAACAAUAACAUAUGUACAAGAAUUAAAGCCAAAAAGUUCAAAUAAUUCACAAUUUAUAAUAUAACACACUUGUUAAGGAUAUAAGAGCUCUCAGGAGCUAAUUUCCACUUGUUUCGCCAAGACUCGAUCCGAUACCCCCUCGUGAUGACACUCCGUCAUCUGGGUAGGUAUUAAGUCCGUAGAAACUUCACUUACUACUUCCUUCAUCCACCAUUCCACCUUCUCGGAUCCGUAACCAAACAAGCACGAAAAGGGCGAUACUACACGAGUAUGCCGAAGAAGAUCUCAAAAGAUCGAGUUUUGUUUUUAAGAACACGCACGAAAAGGGCGAUACUCCACGAGUAUGCCGAAUAAGAUCUCAAAAGAUCAAAUUGUGUUUUGUAAUAUUCUUAUGGUUCAUCAAACUUUUCGACCAAACCCAUGUCGGUUUGAGUCGCAAGAUUGGCCAAUGAGAUUUGGGUGUUCCCACGAGUACACGUAUAAUAGUCGACGAGAUUUACUCCGAUCGACAUACAAGUCAUGUUCACGUAUAAUACACGUAUAAGUCAAAUAAAGGAGAAUGAGUGCGAUAAAAUACACACUCACCUCAUCAAGUUAUGUUUACGUAUACAAGUAAGAUUAAUCAAGUAAACACGACAAAUCAUGCAGUUGACACUCACCAAUUCAAAAUAAGUGAGCAAACAAAGUUUUAAGUGUCUGCACCGAGAUUCCCUUCGAAAUCUCCUUGAGCGCCUGAGCAAUUAAUAAGUAUUUCUCACUCACAAUCACGUAUUAAUCAAGAAAGAAUGUACACUCAUUUAGACUAGUCAAUAUCUCAAACAAAGAACCUUAGCCACUCAAAAUAAAGGUUCAAAAGUGAGGUUUUAUUAACACAAGAAAAACUGAUUUUCUUCAUGAAAUCGAUUUUAAAACGAUCAAUCAUUAUCAAAAGGUAGGGCAGAGUUUCCAAAAACUCAUUUCCCAUCGUGUCGGAAAAUUUCAAUUUUGCACGUCAAAUUUAGAAAAAUUAGAACUUGUACUCAAUAGGUCCAAAAUUGGAAAACUUUAUACCGUUGGAAUCUUGGUUCAAAGUACUAAAAGUUUUCAGAAGACACAUUUCCAAGAUUCUAAACGAAAGAUAUUCAAAUUUCAGCUCAAAGUGGCUGAUUUGAGAAUACAAGACAGUUUCGAUCAUGUUUUCGGUAAACUUUGGAAAUUCGGUAAAAUUCACAGAAAGUGAACUAGCCUCUGAAACUUGUGUCGCGCCCCACUUUUUGAUAUGGGUGUGUGUGGUGUGUGAGAUAUGUAUGUGAACAUGUGUGAAAGUGAAAAUAAAGGCCGUGGGAUUGUGAAAUGCGACGGUUUGGCCAAAUAAAGUUCAAAAAUGGUUUUUGUAUGAAAAAUGGAGUCGCCACUUGGUAUAGAGUUAGGGUGUACCAAGUCACCCAAAAAAAUGAUUUUUGUUUUUGAACGAAAAAGUAAAUAAACCCUUUUAAAGAACUUUUAGGUCUUCGUAACCAAAGAAAGGGAUUGGGGGUCACAUUUGAUAAGGGAGAAGGCAAAGGCAACGCCUAAGGCACUCCCUUACCCUAGCCAAAGCUAGUUGCGUGACUUAGCCCCACUUUUCCUAAUUAUUCUACUCAAGGUAUGUAUCGCAUGUUGGAUAUGACUAAUGGAUGCGAAAAGGAAAGAAAAAUGCAAUCCUAAACCUAAAAAUGUUUCUCAUGAGGCUUUUAGGUCCCAACCACAUGAAUUGUGGUGGCCAAUAAGGAAAGCUCUCUUGGAAGUCGUGAUUAAUGCAAGUGAGGACUCAAGUGUAAGUGUGCAAGUGUGAGAAAAUAAAGGUGCUCGUGUGUGCAAAUGAAUGAAAAUAGGGUAUUAGAUACGUAUAAGUGCAAUUUGAGUGUCAUUUGUGAAGUAGAAAAAUAAAUGAGGGAUAGGAAAAAGGUGAUUAGAAAAAUGGAUUGAGAAAAAUCUAAAUAGUGAGAAAAUGUGGCUAAAAGAGUGAGGAGGUGAUAUAAAAAGAAUGCAAGUGUAUGACCCUAAAGGAAUGCAUCAAGUCGGGCACGGGAAGGACUCCUAAUUUUACGACUUUGAUUUUCCCUUGGAUUAGAAGGAAGAACUAGCGUGCUAAGGCUAUUUUGUAGCCAAACUUGCUCGUUUCCCUUAUCGAAAGGGGACUCUCAAGCAAAUGUACCCUAUAACUAGUAUGAGGAUGCAAAAAGCCUAAAAUGAGGGGAAAAGGAUUGAAGGAGCAUGCCAAAUGAUAAAAAACUAAGAAAAAUGCAUGGAAUGUAGUGAAUCAAGUAUGCACUAACGAAAGGGAAAUCUCUAAGGGUUUAGCGUUGGACUAGCCCUUUCUAUGAAUUUCUAACAGAAUAAUGAGCCACAACUAGCAUUGGACUAGUGUGGUGACGUACAUUCAUCCAUCACAUUCAUUUACGAAUAUAGAAAGCAAGUAGACAUGCCCAAACACUUAUAAACACAUAGCACGUAACACUUAGCAUGCUCGACUAAAUGCAAAAGCCUAAUAAAGCAAAUUAACACAUAGCCACAAAAGCAAGCAACCAAACUAAUGGACCUAUUACAUUUGCUAGCUAGGCACACGUCUUCAAUAGGUUUUCAUCAAAUGCUCUCCAAGCCCUAUCUAUUACAAUCCAAGAGGUGUACACAUACCCCAUAAAAGAAUAACUUAACGAAAAGCAAGAGUAAAUGAAAUAAAAGGAAUUAAGGAAAAACUAGUAAAGCAAGUAGACAUGCAAUUCUCACUUAGCACGUUGGAUCACAUAGGGGAGAGACAAAAAAAGAUAAAAGAAGUUAUACCUUCCUUGGAAUGGUGUCCAAAUGAAAGAAAAUGGCUAAUUCACCCUCCAAAAUAAAAGAAAUGAUCAAGGUACCAAUUUAUUAGGAAAAAUUAAAGAAAAUAUGCAAAUACAGACUCACUGAGUCGUAAAGCUCUUAAAAUCAUGAACUAAGUGCAAUUUAAACAAAGCAUGGUGGUUAAUUGAAGCAAACAAGCAAUAAAAAUUGCAAAAUUAAGGCUGCCAAGGACCAAAUUGAGGAUAUUAUUCAAUUGGUUGGGUCAUAGUGAAAUGAAGGGAUACUUGGGGGGUUAAAAGGCAAUUUCUGAAAGUUGUUUCUGCAUGUAAGCGCAUGCAAAGCCAUGAAACAACGUCUGCAAUCAAACAUUUCUGCUGAAAGUUUUCUGCAACAACCAAAAGGACUUCGGCAGCUAAGGUAACCUAUCCACAAAGCUUCACUCAUAACAUUUAGCAAACAAACUUGCGCUAACUCUAAUUAAGCAUGUCUAAACAUCACUAAACCAAGCAAUUCUUAAAAGAAUUUUAUGCAAGUUCCGUGCAACAUAUGAGCAUAAGGAAACAGCAAAAACAUGACAACAAACGUAGCAAAAACAGCAAACAUAGGUGUGAGAAACUCAAAACCCACUCACUAGUUGGACAAGCAAACACAAGUGCUGGGACCUCAUCUCACUGUUUAUCAACCCAAAAUCACGUAACUCCACAAAUUCUUAACUCAAACAUGGUUGUUCAGCUUUAAUGAAUCCCUCGGAUAGAACCCAAGCCAAGAAAACAAAAACAAAUCAGCAAAAUGCAGCAAAGGAAUCCAGUUGAAACUUCAUUUAACGCGGCUGGAGUUCUUUUCCCUUUAAUGUAGAUAGUUACAAUGGAUUCACAAUAUUGCAGCAAUUCACCUUUUAUUAUGUUCUUAACUGGCAUAUGGACAACACAACCCAAACACCAAAUGAAAACAGGUCACAGCAAGAGAAAUAAACUCAUGAAGCUUCGGAACUUCAACACCUUCCAGUCACAAACGCAGCUAAUGCGACCUGAACAUCUACUAAGACUCAACCAGAAAAUCAAGAAAACAGCAUUAUCCAUCUUGUUAUGAGCAAAAUCGAUUAUGUAAAAGGUCAAACCAUUCUAAUGAAUUUAGACUGCAAACCAGAACAUGUAUCUAUCCACUUGAAACAAACUAGACCUGAUGGCUUAAGCAUGACGAAUACAGGACAACAUGGAAAAUAUCACAAUUCCCAACUCCCUUCUUCUUCUUCUUUUAAACCCAACCCAAUUUGGCAGUAGUGCAAACUAAUCAUGAACAUCCACUGACCUCUAACUCAACAAUAAAAUCAAUGCUAGAAAAAACAAAAUAACAAGUGAAACCAGGACCUUCAAACACUAUCGUAAGUUGAACAAGAAACACUGCCCGAGAUUUUCAUAUCAUUUUUUGAUUUCGUUCACACAAUCACAUGUGGGUCAGCCAUGAACAGUAAACAAACACUUUCACGUAUUCACCACAUAAGCCCACGAAAGAAGAAAAAGAAAGAAAUUCAGGCUUCUGUCCUUAAACUCAAACCGUUACCCACUGAUUUUCUACCUCAACCAUACUCAUACAACAGGAUGCCAAGGGGAAUAGCCAUGAAAAAAUAAAACAACCCAAAACAUAACAGCAAAGAUCCUAACAUUUCUGAGCCAAAUCUGAUGGUAUUUGACGGGUAAAGGAUGAAGAUGUACCUUUAAUCACCAAGUGAGGCGAGAGAGGAUCAAGGAAAAAUUCAAAUGGCUCUACCAGAGCUUCAGAGGAACGCCAAUGACGAUGAUGAUUCGGUCAACUUCUUGCAACCCCAACCCAGACUCUCUCUUUCUUUUGCUGUUUCCUCUAUUCUACCGUCACCUCCGUCUUUCCUCCUCACUCUAUCUCAGCCGCCAACCUCUAGCCCUCUGGUCUUUUCUUUUUAUCAGCCGUCCCUCUUCUUUCUCUUCAACCCCAGAUUUUUAGCCGUCACCCCUCUCUCUUAGCUCACACAAAACCCUUUUGUUCAUUCCUCUCUCAGCCGACCUCCCUCUCUCAACUCUCUCCAGAUCUACCUCUCUUACUUUCUUCUCUAUCCCCUUCCUCUCUCGCAACCUUUCGAUUAUGGAUGAGAAGAAACAGAACUCUCCACUCUCCCUCUCGUUUCUUUCUGACUUUUCUCGCUCAAGCAGCCGCCAACGAGCCUCUCUUUUCAUCGGCUAGCCUCCCCCUUUUUCCCAGUUUUUGUUCCUUGCUCUCUCGGCCCCUACAGCUAUCCCUCUUUAGCUCUCUCUCUCGGCUCUCUCCCCAGCUCUCUUUUUUUUCUUGCUCAAACCCCAGCCGUCCUAUCUAUCUCUUCAGCCUCCCCAGAUUGUCUCUUCCGUUACUUGUUUUUCAGCCGUCCACUCCUAUUCUUCCCCCAGCUGCCGCUGUUUCUUAUCAGCAUUCAACAUCUUCAGAACCUAGCAUCAAUGGUCCUGGUUUUUCUGUAUUUUUCUGAUAUUUGGGAACCGUUUGAUGGCUUCCCCCUUCCAGAAGAUUCUUGAUCCAGUCUUUAAUAGAUGAGGUGUCUUGUACUAGCUUAAAAGGAAACAACUUCCGUGAGGAAACUUCACCAAAAUGCCAGCUUGCCCAUCUGGUACAGCGUCUAGUUCCCGGUUGCAGAAGAAUAACGCAUAUGCUCAGCAUGCGCAUAUGAACCCUUUUUUUUUUUUUUAAACAAAACAUUGAAUUUAAAUCACAAACAACCUAAGCAUAUUUUUGAAUGCUUUUUCUUUUCUCUUUUUUUUUCUUUUUCGAGAAAUUCUAUGCUAAAAAAAACUUAAAACUAAAAAUAAUAAAAUAAAAACUAAAAAGUGGAAACUAAAAAGUGAAUAAAACUAACACGACAAAUAAAAAUUAAGACAAAAAUAGUAAAUGCAAAUUACACUAAAAUUUUGGUGUCUACAACUUGUAACACAAUAAUAAUUCCAAUCAAGAUUUCAAGCACAACAAGAGGAACUAAAUUCAGAGUUUUGAGUGCCAAAAUAUAGCAGCUCAAAGUUUGCCAAAAUUGAAGACUGUUCUGUGGAUUUUCCAGAUUUGAAAACAAACUUUGGGACUUCAGUUGGGUAUCAAAAUGGUCUUAGAAUAAUACCAAAUUUGGUACAAUUCAACUUUCAUAUGAGGAAUACUCCUCUAUCAAAUUUCAAGUAAAAAAUCGUACGGGAAGGUAGUUAACAAAACUCCAAGUUUCAAGAAAUUUUUCAAAGCAAAUCUGUCUUUUUGGUUUUCUUUUCUUUUCAAACAUUUUGCACCACGAAAUCAGUCCCAUUUUGGUUCAUUUGUGAAACCAAGGUCCAAGAAACAUUUAAAAAACAAUUAAUAGUUGGUUGACAUCAAAAUUUUCAAAGCAAAGUAUCUAACAAACAACCAAAUCAGUUGGCCAACAAAAAGUAGGGUUUUUCCAGCUCUGCUGCUGUUUACAAAUUAUACCAUAUCUCAUUCAAUACAACUUGGAAUUGAGAAUUAUUGAUGGCGUUGAAAAUUAGAUUCAAAAGGCUACAUUUCAUCAGAAGAAGUCAUUCUGAAAAUCAGUUCAUAGGUAGUUCGAAUUCAAGCGACAAGUCGCAUCUUCUCACUGCCAUUCGAACAGAACAGCAGAACAGAACAUAAAACUUUGGUGAAUCGGUAAGGAUCACUCAGUUCGAACUAGAUGGUGCAUUUCAUACCGUUGGAAAUUUACAACUGUCUAGUUUCAAAUACCAUAAACAGCACUCGAUUUUGGCGUCUGUACAAAAAGAUAUAUUCGAUCAAAGGGACACUAUUCAAGCUGUCCGAACACAGUUUCCAGAUUUGAUUAAAUUUCGAAAUUUCAUGUUUUGUUCAACCAAUUCAAAUGAUUUUUUGUAAAAACUUUCUACACACCAUAUACAGCAUAUAUACAUCAGUUUCAAAAUCAUUUGAGUUCCAAAAAUUUGAACUAAAUGCGCGGCACAAACAGGACAGAUUUCGGUCAGCAACCAUGCGAAGUUUUCCUUCAACUUUCCUUCGAGUCUAUAUCCAUAAUCAUCUUAACCAACACUUAAACAAUUCAAAUCAAGCAUUAUAUCAUCAUAUCAGCCCAUACAACCAAAGGUGGGAAUUCAUGGAACCCACAUCAAUCAUUCCAAUCCAAGUAACAACAACAAUAAUGAAGCUACAAGCUUCAAAGCUAAGAAUAAAACCCAUGAAAGCCAAGAAUGAAAGAUUGGAUGGUGUUGGAUGGUUACCUCCUAGCUUUAAGAGAAAUCAGAAUUUUUUGAUCACUAAAACUUCAAAAAAAUCGCCAAGAUGAAGUGUUCUUCUAGCUUAAGUGAAUUCCCAAGUGAUUUUAAGGUUGGAUGGUGAUUUGUGAAGGAUUUGGAGCAAAAUUUGAAGUGAAGUGGUGAAGAGCUUUUCUUCUUCUUCUCCUUGAAGAGUUUCGGCCAGCUUGAGGGGAGGGGAGAGAGUGUGUGUUGAUGAAUGAAGUUUCUUGGAGAAGCUUGGGUGAUUUGUGGUUAAAAUUUGCACAAAAAUCAACUAUGAAUAGUACUCACGCGCGAGGGUUUCGUGUCCGUUUUCUCUUGGGUUUGUUUCACUUGUGCAUUAAACCUCUAAUGUACUUCCCUUAACAUUAUAAUUACUCACUCUUAGUAGUCUAGAAUAAAUUUCUUAAAUCUUCAUUGGGUCGAUUUGACGCGAAAACGCGAACUUCUAAUUCACGCGCGAUAAGGCGAAAAUUAAAAGGAAUUCAUGUAACGAUAAUAUAACUAACUAAUACUAGGGUAAUUAAUCUUAAAAAAUAACUAUUUUAAAAAUGAAACAUGAGUCCUCAAAUCUUCAAGAUCAUUGCACUCUCGGAUCGAAUAUUGCCUCGAAAACGUGAACUCGUUAUUCCUUACCAAACUAGCUUCCGAAAAAUAAAUUUUUCUAACGAAAGGUGUUCAAAACAUAGCUUUUCUUAAUUUCUCAUAUAAACUUCUAACAAUUUUUUCAAUCAUUAAAUCAUCCAUAUUCUCUUCAUCAUUAAAAUUUGAAGUUGAACAUUCUUCCUUUUCUUCACUAAAAUUAAGAUAUUUAUUCUCAUAGGUUUCUUCCAAUUUUCUCCAAAUCUCUUGAGCAUUUUUACGAUCCUUUACUCUUUUUAAUUCAUUUUUAUCCAAAACUCUACAAAAAAUUUUCAUAACUUGUAUAUUUUGAACUAACAUUCUUUUAUCAUUUUCAUUUAACUCUUUCUUAGUCUUUUCUCUAGUUUUUCCAUUCUUUGCGAUUAAAAUUUUAUAAAAACCAUCCACAACAAUAUACCAUAAGUCAAAAUUAAUGGAUUUAACAAAGGUUUCUGUCAUUUUCUUCCACACAUCAUAAUUUUUACCAUAAAAUAUUGGUGGCUUAUUUGUGGAUCUUCUUAACAGAAAAUCGGCUGCCAUAAUAAUCUUUUCUCCUAAAUCGGUUGAGCUUAAUCUCUAGGAGAUCAAAUUUUGAUACCAAUUAUAAAGCCCAAAUACAACCAAAGAGGGGCACAUGAAUUAGGUUGAUCACACAAAUCAAGCAAAUAAAAGUAAGUUUUCACCUAAUAAAAGCACUGUAACUAAUUGCACAAAUUCACAAUUAUAAAACAAAUGUAGAGUAAUAAAUAUUGCACAAUUAAGUGACAAAAAUAAAAAAAAAAGAUAGAAACCCAAAUCAAAACUUGAAAUCAACUCCAAUCUAAUAGCCUCUUUAAUUGAUGGUAUUGUAAACCACCUUGUAUAUAAGAACAAUCACUCUUGCUCACCCUAAAUACUCUUUAGUUGAGUUAAAGGGUUUUACAACUCUCCUAAUUAACUCUCACUAUAUCACAAUUGAUUGCAAACUAACUAACCAACCAAGAGUUAUGAUACAAGUGAAACUCACAUUCAUAAGAUUUUAGUUCUUCUCUUGAGAAACCUCACAAACCCAACUUUUUCCACAUCUAUACAACAAUUAAAGUAUUUUUCUAUCUAAAUGGCACUCUUGAAAGCUUGUAUUUUGUGUAGGCAAAAGUUUCUAUUUUUCUCAUACUUGGGGGUAUUUAUAGAUAGUGAAACCUUACCUUAAAAGUUUCUGCAACAGAACAAAAAUUAGCUAUUAGAAAACUAGCCGUUAGUAAAAAUUAGCUAUUAUAGAUAGUGAAACUUUGCCCCAAAAGUUUCUCCAACAGUAAAAAAAUUAGCUGUUAGAAAACUAGCAGUUAUGGGUAUUUAUAGAUAGUGAAACGUUGCCCCAAAAGUUUCUCCAACGGUCACAAAAUUAGCAAUUAGAAAACUAGUCGUUAGGAGUACCGGAUGUCCGAUCCUCUUCUCUGCGUUCGAUACGUGCGUCUGAUAGUAUGUUCUAACUCUUAUCAGAAGGCUGAUGAAGUUUGUGUGUCCAACACGUCUUGCAUUCAAUAGAGGUCAGAAUAUUGAGAUGUUUUUCACAAAUUUAUCGCAUAGCGAUCCAAGGUAUAUGUGUCCGAUAUGACUAUUCGAUGAAUUCUCCUGACUAUCGACGUCCUACAUCCUUGUGAAGUGUUUGACAGUUUCUGUUCGAAAUGUUCGCAUCGGUUAUCCGACGUCCGAUACUUUGAAAAGCGUUUGAUACGAGCGUUCGAUAGCCUCAACAAUUUUUGCUCCAUUUGAUUCAAAUCUUUUUUUCAUUCUUUUUGACUUAACACUUGUUCUAGACAAUUUCUUAUAUGAAACUAUUAGUCUAAAUCAUCAAUUUGUUUCGUUAUCAAUAAAAUCAAGAAUUGAUUAACAGAAGUUUUCAAAUUUAUAUAUAAAAAUUUAUUUUAGUGUUGAGGAACGGGACAGAGCAAGAGACGAGGUUCCCCAUCCCAUUUAAAUGAGAGAAAAAUUCCCCCAUUCCUUGCUGCAUCACUUUCUUACACGGACUUGUUUUCAUUGCCAUCCCUAAUUGUCAUCCUUACCAUUACAGCAAAUGAAAUCCAUGGUUGCAUUUUGAGACUAUCCUUUAAAUGUAAGGGGGUCAAGUCCAAUUUACCCUUGUUCUGAUUAUUUGUACCAGGUGGGUCUCUGAUUGAAGUUGAAAAUGCCCUGUCCACACAAAGUCAUAAUAUGCAAUCAUUUUCCCUAUAAAUACUUGUUAUCAGGUAAUCAAAACAAAAAAUUGAUCCGGACACCCUUGUGUUGAAAAAAAAAAAAAAAAAAAGAAGUAACCAAAACAAAGCAGUCCGACACUGAAAAGUUCCCAAGUGUCAAAGACUGCACACUCCAAAGUCCUAGCUAAGCAAGAAAGAUCAAGAAAGUUGUCAAUGGCCAUCCCAGUUCCUAGCCGACUUCUGUUCAUCGAUGGUCAAUGGAGAGAGCCCGUGAAGAAGAAUCGCAUCCCGAUAAUCAACCCCUCUACUGAAGCAAUCAUUGGUGAGCAACCCUUUUGACCACUGCCCCUUCUCUCUCUCUCUCUCUCUCUCUGAAUCUGUGUUAGUUAAUCAUGAAAAUUUUGUUGCAGGGGAUAUUCCGGCAGCUACGGCGGAAGAUAUAGACAUUGCGGUGGAAGCUGCGAGGAGGGCGCUUAUUAGGAAUGGGGGAAAAGACUGGGCCGCUGCGUCUGGAGCACAUCGCGCAAAAUUUCUGCGUGCUAUUGCGGCAAAGGUGAAGAACUUGAUAGUUGUUAGUUCGUUUUGUUUGGAUUGGAAUGAUGCGAAAGAUUAAUAAGUUCAUCUGAUCAGGCUUGGAUCUUUCUUGCCUCAAAUGAAAUUGAUUUUUGCUGCCAUGUGCAGAUAGAUCUGUUGUUCUGUAUCUGUUUGAGUGCGUAAAAGAGGAAUUGUGAUUGCCCUGAAGUUUGAUGUUCUUCAUAUUUCAGAUUAGUUAGAGCUUCUAUAAAAAUGGAAGUGCUGGAAGUUGCAUGCUUAAUAAAUUUGCUUAUAUUUUUGGUAAUCAGAUAACUGAACGGAAGUCUGAACUAGCAAAGCUUGAAGCACUUGAUUGUGGGAAGCCCCUGGAAGAAGCAGCCUGGGAUAUAGUAAGUUAUGAAUACCUAGAGAAACCUCUUUGCUGUUGUUUUUUUUUUUUUUUUAUGAGUUGCUUAUAUGGUUAUCCAUGUCGUUUAGGAUGAUGUUGCCGGGUGCUUUGAGUACCAUGCGGACCUUGCCGAAGCUUUAGAUUCAAGGCAAAAGGCUCCUAUUUCUCUUCCUGUGGAAACAUUUAAGGGUUAUCUGCUAAUGGAUCCCAUUGGGGUAGUUGGGUUGAUUACUCCAUGGUAUUGGCUACUUUUUUUUGUCUGUCUAUCUCUCUGUCUGUCUCUCUCGUGUGGUUUUGCUAGCCUUUGGAUAUGAUAUUCUUCAAACCGGACUAAUCUGAAAGAACUGCUUGUUAAGAUGAAGUAUUGUCAACAGAUUUUUAAACUACUAGGAUGGAAUAUAUUAUUUGGUAAACAGAUGGCCUAGAUAAAAUUGGAUUUGAGUGUGCAUAUCAUUCAUUGAUGUCAAAGAUUGUGUUCGGCAAGGUAAAACCUAGGCACUGUGUACUGUGUAAAAACCAAAAGGGUUAAGAAUACUUGUGCUUGCGUCUUCAAUAUUUGAAAGCGAUGAAAAGACCAAGUGGAAAUGCCCACGCAAGUAGAGACAUGUCUUACUCAAUUUGAAACUCAAAGAUAACUUGGAUUUCAACCAUAAUCAAUCCAUCUUUUGUUUACUUAGUGGUAUUUUUAAAAUUUUCUGGGAUCCGAUAAAAAGAUGUUGCUACUGAUUAUGUCUUUGGAAUUCGCUUUUUUAUCCUGGUCUAAACUUUGAUUACGUCCACCCUGGCAUUAGCUUCCAGAGGAUUUAUUUGUUCCAAAGAGCUCGGAACUCUGUAGAAUUUGAUUCUAUCUUUGGUUCAUGAAGGGGCAGUCGAGGAGUUCUGGGAAAGGGCAGAACUUGCCUUUGUUUCCUCUAGUCUGUGAUGCUGAGAAUCUUUGAAAAGGCUAAAGCUAAGAAUUUGCUGCAGAAAGGAAAUGCAUCUUAGUUCAAGCUCAUUUUGGAGUUGGAAUAUCAUGUGCUAGACUCUUGUAGAUUUGGACCAAUGAAUUCAAUCUAAAAGUAUUGAAAUGGAAUUAUGAGCCUAGUUUGCUUGUGAGUUUGUUGAAAGCAAAUCUUGAAUGGUUUUUAUUGGACUUUCUCAUAGAUUUUUGCCCUUUACUACCAGAUUAGCUGUCUUUUUGGGCUUGUUGCAAGACAAUUUAACCUCUAGUACAAAGCAAUAUGCAAUAAUUGAUGGGCUGGGAAUGAGUUUUUCUGGGCCAUUAUUGACUUAGUUGCAAAUGUCGAUUAUGUUGGUGAUUUUGAGUUUGAAACUGAUGGUCUCCCUGGACUACAUUAUCCUGUCUGCUGAAGGAAUUACCCCUUACUGAUGGCUACAUGGAAAGUUGCUCCUGCUCUGGCUGCUGGUUGUGCUGCAAUUCUUAAGCCAUCUGAAUUAGCUUCUGUGUGAGUAACUCUCAAUCUUCAUUUCCUUUUGAUUAGGAGAGUUGAUGUUCUAUGCAUUACUUGACUAUCCUGAUAUUACAUCUUAGAUCCUGCUUGGAGUUAGCUGAUAUCUGUAUUGAGGUUGGUCUUCCACCUGGCAUACUUAACAUUGUCACUGGACUAGGGCCAGAAGCUGGUGCUCCUUUGGCAUCUCAUCCCCAUGUUGACAAGGUUUAAUCACUUGUCUUUUCAUUAUGGUUUAUAUGGAGACUGGUGCCUUUUAUGACCUAGGGCUAUUGAAAUGAUUGACCAUUAGAUAGCAUUCACUGGAAGUAGUGCUACGGGGAGUAAAAUAAUGUCAGCUGCUGCUCCACUCGUUAAGGUUUGUUAUUGCUGCAAGACAUCAAAAGUCAUUUGUAAAAUAAUGUCAUUUGUGGUCAAAUUGAAAGUUUUUGAUAUUAGUAGUAAUUUUGUGUUUUCUUGGCAGCCUGUUUCACUUGAACUAGGUGGAAAAAGUCCAAUAGUUGUGUUUGAGGAUGUUGACCUGGACAAAGGUGUGUGUAUUCUGAUUACUACAUGGCGUUAAUUUCUGUGUUUCUCCAUUCUAAAGCUAUAGACUAUAUUUCUGCAGCAUGAAUGUAUCAUUAAAGGAAGUAAGAAGAAAAUGAAUUUUUAUCUCGAGAAAUCCGGUGUAUAAAAUGUUGGAAAUUUUAAAGCUGCCAUUUUAUAACAAUAUAAUUCUUGAAUAUGAAUAUUCAAAUAUGCUUCUUAUCUACUUCAUUUAAACAGCUGCUGAGUGGACAUUGUUUGGUUGCUUUUGGACAAAUGGCCAGAUCUGUAGCGCAACAUCUCGCCUUAUAAUCCAUGUGAGUAGGAAAGCUGAAUGCAAAUUAUGUUUGAUAUGGCUUUUCAAUUUCAUCGAUAUGCCUAUAUUAAUUUGAUGGCAAUCACGAUUCUGUCUCGCAUGGUAUAUUGCUUUUAGGCAAUGCAUGUACAUCAAAUUUAUAAGCUCUUUCAGUAAAGUUAAAAAUGAUUUAAACAGUAGCUUUUCUUGUCCUUUUUCCUCAUUGUUUUCCUUCUGUUUCUACUUACACUGAAUAGCUGUGUAAGUUUCAUUGCCCUAGUGAACUUAAUAUGUUAUAGGGUAAAAAAAAAAAAAAAACUCCCUGUGGUAAACCUAAUACAUAGAAAAGCCCCUCGUGAUUUCAAAGCGUAUAACAUGACACCUCAUACCUUGAACUAAAUUGUAAAGGUGACGGAAUCCGUUAAACUUAAUGGAAUCUAAAAAAAAAUUUUAUACCUAAUUUUUAACAAAUAUACCUAUUCUACCCUUUAACCCUUAAUUCUCUCUACUCUAGAGAAUAAAACAAAUGAUUUUUUUGAACUGCCUUUUGCUUAAUUAUAUCAGGGCAUUUUAGUCAUUUUGUCAAUUUCCGUUAUGUUUAAUGAAUUCCGUCACCUUUACAAUUUAGUUCAAUGCAUGAGGUGUCAUGUUGUACGUUUUGAAACCACCGGGGGUUUUUUUGUUUUUUACCCUAUGUUAUAUGCAAGUGUAAUGUCUAAGCAAGUCUGAGAUGCUAGGUGUUCAAGGAAUCUCAAGUAAAUGAAAAUUUCCAGUUUGAGCUUCAGUUUGUAAACAAAGUGAAGAGCUUUCUUGGUUGAGAUUUAUCGCUAAAUCACUUAGUUGGAUCCCUAGUUAUUCUGGUAAAUGGGAUGGGGACAAUCUGUUCUGGCGCAUGUAGUGCUAAUCUCUAGCCAUAAUCUCUAAGCAUGUGACAACAGGUAUUUUGGGAGGAAAAACAUCUAGUCACAUAUUAUGAGUGACCAACUAGUAUAUAUAGGAGUACAAAACUAACAAACUAUUUACAAAAAUACCCUUACUAAUUUAUUAUCUACAGAAAUACUUAUAUUUUCUUAACACUCUCCCUCAAGUUGGAGCAUAUAUAUCAUAAGCACCCAACUUGUUACAAAUAUAUCUCACACUAGAGCCCCCUAAACUCUUGGUAAACAAAUCAGCCAAUUGAUCUACAGACGGUACAUGAAUUGUCUUAAUAAUUCUGUCAAGCAAUUUCUCUCGAAUGAAAUGACAAUCAACUUCAAUAUGUUUUGUCCUUUCAUGAAACACUGGAUUAGAAGCAAUAUGAACCGCCGCCUGAUUAUCACACACUAAAUUCAUAGGCUGAUUAUGCUCAAACCCAAUUUCAAGUAACAUGCUUUUCAACCAAACCAACUCACAUACAGUGUGAGUCAUAGCGCGGUAUUCUGAUUCUGCACUUGAUUUGGAGACAACAGUUUGUUUUUUACUCUUCCAUGACACUAAAUUACCACUAACAAACACACAAUAUCCUGUGGUCGAUCUUCGAUCUGAGGCAGAACCAGCCCAAUUUGCAUCACUAUAUCCUUCAAUAUCAGUGUGUCCAUGAUUUUGAUACAACAAUCCUUUUUUAGGAGCAUUCUUAAGAUACCUGAGAAUCCGUAUAACAGCAUCCCAAUGACUAGUACGAGGGGUAUCAAGAAAUUGACCCACAACACUUAUUGCAAAAAAUGUCAGGUCUCGUUACAGUGAAAUAAUUUAAUUUACCCACAAGUUUUCGAUAUUGUCUAGAAUCAUCUAGUAAUGCACCUUGAUCUCCUACUAAUUUCAUAUUAGGAUCCAUUGGAGUAUCCACAGGUUGGCAACCUAACAUCCCAACUUCACUCAGCAUAUCGAGUACAUAUUUUCUUUGACAUAAAUAAAUUUCAUAUUUAGACCGAGUUACCUCAAUACCCAGAAAAUACUGUAGAUGACCUAAAUCAUUUGUCUGAAAGCUUGCUUACAGAUUGGAUUUAAGUUUCUAGAUCCCCACAACAUCAUCACCUGUAAUCACAAUAUCAUCCACAUAAACAACUAAUAAAAUUUUACCAACAUUAGAGUGCCGAUAAAAUACAGAGUGAUCUACUCCACAUCUUGUCAGAUCGAACUCCAUGACAACACUACUAAAUCGAUCAAACCAAGUCCUUGGAGACCGUUUCAAUCCAUAUAAGGAUUUUUUCAUACGACAAACCAACCGUGAAUUCUUCCUCUGAACAACAAAUUCAGGAGGUUGUUCCAUAUAUACCUCUUCUUCCAAAUCUCCAUGCAGAAAUGUAUUUUUCACAUCCAACUGAUGCAAUGGCCAAUUAUAAGUUACUGCUAAAGAGAUAAGAAGACGAACAGAGGUAAUCUUUACAACAGGAGAUAAUGUUUCUAAGUAGUCAAUUCCAUACAUUUGAGUAAAUCCCUUAGCUACAAAACGAGCCUUCAAUCUAUCAAUAGAAUCAUUAGGUUGCACUUUUAUAGUGUACACCCAUUUACAACCAACACCCGACUUACCAGAAGGAAGAGGGAUAAGAUACCAAGUACCAUUUUUCUCCAAAGUAGACAUCUCUUCUUGCAUAGCUAAUCUCCAACCAGGAUGAUUAAGAGCAUGGGUAAUAGACUUAGGAAUGGAGACAGAAUUAAGGGAAGCAACAAAAGAAGAAUAUGACAUAGAGAGACGAGAAUAAGAAACAAAAUUAGAAAUAGGAUGAGAAGUGCAAUGCCUCUUACCUUUGCGUAAAGCAAUAGGAAGAUCUAACUCUGAGGAGAGCGUCAUAUCUGGAUUUGAAGAUUGUGAGUUAAUUGGUGAAGUGCGUGGCAUAUCAGGAACUUUCUCAACCAUGGAACGACGAGAAUAAACUUGAAGAUUAGGACGAGAUAAUCGACCUAGUGAAUCUCGUGGACUAGAUAACUCAGGUAAUAAAGAAGAAGUGACUGGUAAAACAGGAGAGAAAAAAGAGGGACACUGGUCUAACUCACAAGGCAUACCGUGUUUCAUAAAAUAUGGAGUAGAUUCAAAGUAAGUAACAUCAGCACAAAUAAAAGAUCGAUUUAAAAUUGUACUGUAACAUCUGUACCCCCUUUGCGCUUGUGCGUAUCCUAAGAAAAUACACUUAAUAGCACGAGGAAGUAAUUUAUCCAUCUCAGGAGCAAGCUGAAGAACAAAGCACACACAUCCAAAAAUGCGAGGAGGUAAUUUAAACACAGGUUCAUGAGAAAAAAGAAUGGAGUGAAGUAAUUGACCUCCAAGAAUAUUAGAUGGCAUGCGAUUAAUUAAAUAACAUGCAGUUAGAACUGCAUCACUCCAAAAUUGUUUGGGCACAUUCAUGUGCAACAAAAGUGUUCGAGCAACCUCGAUUAAAUGUCCAAUUUUUUCUUUCAGUAACUCCAUUCUGUUGUGGAGUGUGAGGACUAAUGAAUAAUCCCAAACUUAGUCAAAAAGGUAUUAGAUGGAGUGGAAAAAUAUUCCUUCACAUUAUCACUGUGAAGUAUAUGUACAGGCACACCAAAUUGAUUCUUUAUUUCUGUAACAAAUGCACAAAAAAUGAAAUAUAGAUCUGAACGAUUUUUCAUUAAAUAAAGUCAUAUAACUCUGGAAAAAUCAUCAACAAGGAUUACAAAAUAUUUAAAAUCUAACUUUGAAGUGACUCGACUAGAACCCCAAACAUCAGAAUGAACUAACAAAAAGGAUUCAGAAACCUGUUUAUUGACUCUAGGAGCAAAAGAAACACGAUGAUACUUUCCUAACUGACAAGGCUCACAUUCUAACGAAGACAACUGACUCAAAGUAGGAACCAACUUUUUCAAAUUUUGUAGAGACGGAUGACCCAAACGAUAGUGAAUUUCAAGAGGAGAAACAGUAGCAGGACACGCAAUCGGACCAUCGGAGUUGAGAAAAUAAAGACCAUUAUGCUCAUGCCCUCCACCAAUCGUCCUCUUUGUCUUCAAAUCCUGAAUGACAACAGAAUCAGGAGAAAAAGUAACUGAACACUGUAGAGAUUUAGUGAGCUUAUUAACAGACAUUAGAUUAAAAGGCAAACUGGGUACGUAAAGAACAGAAGACAGCGGAAGAGAUGGAUUAAUUUUUACAGUGCCUAGUCCUUUAACUUUAGUGGUAGAUCCAUCAGCUAAAGUAACAUGAGGAAAGGAAGUAGACUCUUGAAAGUUAGAAAAAUUUUUAGAGGUACCUGACAUAUAAUCAAUAGCUCCGGAGUCAAUAAUUCAUGAGUCAUUACCUUUUUGUGCUAAAGAAGCAGAGGGAAGAGAUGCGUGAUUUGUAACUUGGUAUUGUAGGAAUUUAACAUAAUCUUCUUCGGAUAUGGUAAUAGUCUUUUGGGACCCUUGUGCUGAAGAACUUGAUUCAACUUGGUCAGUGAUAACCGUAUUAGCAAACCGAGGAGGUUUUCCAACUAAAUCCUGACAAGUAUCACGAUUGUGAUUCUUCAAACCACAAUGAGUGCAUUCACGGGUGCCUCGACCUCCACGACCUCCUCUACUUCUGACAUUUUUUGAUAAAUUUUCAACCAUAGCGAAUAGCACUUCAAACCAAAGAAAGGGUCAAAACUCGAGACGAACCGUGCGUCGUGAACAGUAACGGCGUGAACAGUGUCACGAUGAAACAGUGCAGCGUGAACAGUACUUUUGCUAGAUGUUUAACUCUAACCCUAGGACUUUAGCUCUGGUACCAUGACAACAGGUAUUUUGGGAGGAAAAAACAUCUAGUCACAUAUUAUGAGUGACUAACUAGUGUUUAUAGGAGUACAAAACUAACAAAUUAUUUACAAAAAUACCCUUAUUAAUUUAUUAUCUACAGGAAUACUUAUAUUCUCUUAACAGCAUGUAAUGCAAGGCCAAAAGAGAAACUACUAUUUUCACCUGAAUGACAUUCUUAGUAUCUAUGAUUCCAUUAACUGGAGUAUGUCUAAGACUACAAUGUGCUAUGGUGUCUCAAACCUGUCUGACCUUCCUCAUCUUUUGCUUCCAUCGCAAAAUUCACAAGAAUUCUGCUGAUUUGCCGCCAUGUUGAGCACCCAUAAUGUGUUGGAGUAGUCAUUGUUAUCUAGGAAGUAGUAACUGGGACGGUAAUUUUCCAACCUAGCAGCUCUGAUCACGGGAUGAACUGAAGGUUCUUACUUUCACUAGCGUUAAGAGCAUGUCUUUGAGAAUUUGUGUAGUAUGAAGUGGUGAAAGAAAUGGUAGUAUGUCUUCAUGUGUAUGGCUUCAGCAUCUGUUUCUGCACUUUUCUCGUAUACUUUUAUUUGCUGCAUCUCCUGAAGGUGUAGUGACCUGUAAAUAAUGAUUAUCUGCAAAAUAUCAAGCUAAGAAUUUAUAAUUUAUUUGCCAAGUGAUUAUCUUAAUUUUUUGCUCACUUGGCCAAGGUCUUAUGGUGUCAUUUUUGCAUCUUCAAAUGAAGUUGUCAUCUUCCUUGAGGACACACACUGUUCUCAUAGCAAAAACCAUUACUGCCUAUUGUUUGUAGCUCAGCGACAACUUUAUUUGAGGACUGCUACCCUGAUACUGCAUAAUUCCUAUGCAUAUUGAGAGAAUUUUAUAUAGGAUCUCCUAUUAUUUCACUUUGGCAUGAUUAUUAAACAAGAUGUGGGGAGGUAAUAGUUUGAGCAAAAUCAUAUACGGCCCGUAGAAGGUAAAGGUGCAAAGCUACCUAGACUGCAAGAGGCCAGUCAGGAGCCAAAGUGCAAACCGAAAGGCAAGCUGAGGGCACGUUAUAUGAAUAAUGAUGGCCUAGAGUGAUGUAAGAAUAACACAAUCAAUCACCCAAUUAACAAAAUGAAAGUAUAUUAAAUAAGAUUCAAGCAAAAAACGUUGCAAUUAGUGUGUUAAGGUUCAAAAUAAAAUUAUGAUGCCCUAAUAUAUAGGUAUGCCUAGUGAAACAGAAAUAAUAACUAGUAUAGCCAGCAAAAAUAAAGUUUUAUUCAAGUCUUAAAGAUUCAUACACUAUUGAUCUUCUAAUCAUCUCAUCAACUAAGUCUACCACACCCAAAUCUGUUUCUCAUCUGCUAGUACAAGUGCAGUAGAUCAAAUUGCAAUUUGCAUUUCCUUUGUUCCAAGUUGCUACUGCCCUUGCAUUUGGAUGGCACUGGGAUUGGGAUUGGUGUAGAAAAUUAACAGGAAACUUAGCUAGCAGCACAAAGCAUAGUUAUUAAACCCAACCCGGGAAGGAACCCGGCGAAGGAGGUGGGUCAACGGGGUUACUGGUUGAACCGGUGGGUGAGUGGUUGAACCGGUGGGUCACUACAUAUAUUUAAAUAUUAUAUUUCAUAAUUAUUUAUAUAAGAUAUAUGAUAUAAAUUGUAAUAAAUAAUGUCAUAACAAAAGCUCAUUUAAUUUAAUUUGUUAUAAAAUAAUUAAUUCAUAUAAGAAUCAAUCAAAUAUAAAGUUAUUUAUUAAUAUACCAAAUUUCAAGUGUAAAAUUUUAUCUAUAUUUAGUGUAAUUAUCUAGCUUAUUUAUGAAUUUUAAGUGUAAAAAUUUAUUAAAAAUAAUAUUUGUCUUUAAAUGAAUUAUGUAAUAUGUUAUUUUUGGAAUCCAUUUUAUAACUUAUAGAGUUUGGAGGGUAAUAAAUUUUUAUUAAAAGAUUCCAAAUAAAUUUGUUUUAGAGAAAAAAAGAUAGAAUUGAAAAAACAUUUAUAUAUCAUACUAAAGCUACUAUAUCAACAUAUUUGGAAGUGGUUUGGUGGUAAGCAAGCGGUAGUGUGAGGGCAAAGGUCGGAAGUUCGAGUCCCAACAAUAGCAAUAUAAUUUUUCCACAAAAUCCGGUUAGUGACAAAACCGGCCAAAACCGGCCGGGUUUCCGGUUUAACCCGGUUCGACCGCCGGGCCGUUGACUAAGUCAACGGUCUCUGUGCACAAACGAUCUGAUUCCAAACCCGGCCCGGUCCAAUGACCGGUCCACCCGGUUUGACCGGUUCGACUGCCGGGCCGGGCCGGGUUUAAUAACUAUGGCACAAAGUACUAGGAUUAUGAAGAGUAUAAAAAUACAAAAAUUUUAAGGAAAUUAGCUUCUAGGCUGUAUGAGAGCCCAAGUUAGCUAAUACUACAACUUUAAGUUCUGGCUGCAGUUCCUUAUUUGGUAGUUAUAGGGCUCCAAAUGCACUGUUGCCUAAAGUGUCAAAGGACCAAAAUGCUUUUAGUGAGGCGCAUGCCUAGCACAUCUGUGCCAGCUACAAAAAAAAAAAAAUCUAAAACUACUACACUUGUUGAGAGAGCAUAACCAAUACAUACUAAACAACAAAAAUCUGAAAUCUAUGCUUUUGCAUUAGAAAUCUUAAUGAUAGCUAAUUUCUCUGACUCCACUAGCUUUAGCAUAAUCAUCCCAUGUUGAGUCAUUAUCCUCAAUUUGCCAAGAAGGGGGAAAAUUGAGGCAAAAAUAAUUUGAACAUGGGGCUAGUAAGGUAGAGCAACAUGAGAAUGACUGCCAUAGUUUAGGUAAAAGAGUGAGGAUCAUUAACCAAAAGAAUGAAGAAGACAGGAGAAGAAGGCCAAAAUCCAGGUGGAGAGAGACCGAGAGAAUUAGAUAGUGUGUGUAUGUGAGAGAGAGAGAGAGAGGUGUCAGAAUGGUUGUGUUUCCAGGUUCAGGAAAAGAAGGCCAAAAUCCAGGUUCAGGAGAAUUAGAUAGUGUGUGUGUAUGUGAGAGAGAGCGAGAGGUGUCAGAAUGGUUGUGUUUCCAGGUUUAGCAUUCCUUUUGUAACAUUUUCCACAUCUUCUAGUAUUACAAUGUGUCAAAAUUGUUGUGUUUCAUUAGGGGCUAGCAAUGUGUUUGUGUACUGCCGUUUGUUUUCGUGAUAAUUGGUACAAUAAGUUUGACUGGCUUUGUACUUUUAGUUUCUGAAUCAACUAUCUUUUAUUGAGUUCUGAAUGUAACCUUGAAUGUUUCAGGAAAACAUUGCAAGAGAAUUUUUGGACAAGCUUGUGGCAUGGUGCCGAAACAUCAAAAUCUCAGACCCCUUAGAGGAUGGUUGUAGGCUUGGCCCUGUAGUAAGCAGUGGACAGGUAAGAAAGCUGGUUGUUUAACUGCUCUAGCUGUUGCAAUUGAAAAAGACACUUUAUUUCUUGUUUUCUAUAAACAUACAAGGGCUUCUGAAUGGAUCCAAGUGAGGCCGUUUGGGGUUGGGGUUGCUUUCACUUAAGAAGGGCUUCCAGACAAAUUGUAUUAAUGUAGAGCUUUUGCUAACAGGAACUUCUAUCACAAGCUCAAUUGGUGCUUUUGAGAUGGGUUUCCAUCUCAAAGAUCAAAAAUGAUGCUGGACUUUUUUAAUCAUAAAUGUAGAACUGAAUAAGGAUAGAAGUACAUUUGAAAAAUUCAAACCAUGUACUGUAAAACAGAGAAAGUACUUGUGCAAGUUGCUUCCAAACAACAAAUUUAAGUACUUCCUUUGAAACAUGAAGAGAGGUGCUUUGUGAUAAGGCAUCACUAAUCCCAAAUGAGGCCUGAGAGUUAUAUGCUUCUACUGUGAAAACACAGCAGAAGUUUUAACUUCAGUGCUUUUGGUUUGACUGGGUCAAAACUGAAAGUAACAGAGAUUCUUACACAAGUGUCAUAAUGGCUUGUGUUUCUUCUUCUUCUUCUUCUUCUAAAUAUUUAUGAGUAAACUGAUGAAUGUUAGAUAGAUUGUUGUCUGAGAUAUUUCAAUUGAAAUUAGUUCAAAGUGGACUAUUAAUUUUCUAAGUGCUAAUGCACUUAUUUUAGUAUAUCAUCUCUUUCCACUACCUUUUAAAAAAUCUAUGACCUCUUUUUUGUUUAGUGAAAAAGAUCUAUGAUCUCCCACUCAAUUAUCGAAACCGUAUGUACAGACCCUAAAAUAGAAUCCUGAUAUGAUUAUAUUCCUCAUUCUUGCUUCAUCUCUAACCUGCUUACUUGUAUAUACACUCUUUGAUCUAAUCUGUUAGUGUAUCUAAACAUAAUAUCCUUCCACUUAAAUGAUGGGCUUGCUUUACUCUGAGUAAUUCUUAUGCAUCAUAUCAUAUGUUAAAUGGAUCUGAAUAUAUUUACAUGCAUAUCUUUCCAAUAUUUAAAACCUAUUAGGAAUGGACCUUGACGAGCUCUCUGUUUGAAUUAUUGUAAGGCUAGGACUGCUGUAAGCGAAACUAAUUAGGGAAGGUUUUGUAUUGUAGAGCUAUCAUGAGUUCUAUUGAAUCCCUCACUGUUUAGCAUUUGUGCCAUGUGAAUUAAUGGCUUUAAAUUACACUUGCUGGAAGCCAUUUUUACAUUUGCAAUUGGGUUUUCCAUAUUGACAUUCACGUCUGAAACUGAGGAAUUCUUGAGAUUUCUAGUCAAAAUAUUUAUAGGACAUAUUUAAUUAGGAAAGUUGUGUAGAAUAGAGCAUGCAAAAUGAGGGUAUCAGUUAUGAGUAGCUUCCAAACACAACUGGAUAUCUUCUGGGUUGUAAACUUGAAAACAGGCCAGUUUUCUUCUAACCACAGAUCUUCAGUGUUGAAGUCAAACAAAUGGAGGAGCAAAACUAAUAUUAUCAUCACCCUAGAAAAGUUUCUUAAACAUUAUAGUGAGCUUUCUGUUAUUGUUUAGGAAAUUUUGAGAAAUUAAAUUUGCAAACUAGAUGACCAUGGUUUUGCUUACUAUUCUUUUGUACUCAUCUGUCAUUUUAAAUGGAUGUUAUCAUUAUAAGCUUUUCUGAAUAUUGUUUCCGUACAAUGUUGCGGACAUGGAUAUUGAGAGUUGAUUUAUUCUUUCAUCUGGUUGACAUUUCAGUAUGAGAAAGUAAUGAGUUUCAUAUCAACUGCUAAGAGUGAAGGAGCAACAAUUUUAUGUGGCGGGAAACGUCCAGAGGUAAUCUACCUACUUGUAUGCAACUGGUCUAUUAACACUUGCUCAAGAAGACUAAUUUGUUUUACAGAAUUUAGAAAAAGGUUUCUUUGUCAAACCAACCAUCAUCACGGAUGUAAAAACAUCUAUGCAAAUCUGGAGAGAAGAAGUAUUUGGACCUGUUUUGUGUGUCAAGACAUUUGCAACAGAAGAGGAAGCCAUUGAAUUAGCAAAUGACACCCAGUGAGUUACUUCUUCAUUUCUCUUAAUUAUUGUGCAUCAUGAGACCUGUGUGCAUAAUAGGGAUUAAUGUGGUUCGUUUUCUUUAACAACUUUUCACAGUUAUGGUUUGGCUGCGGCUGUGCUAUCUGAAGAUUUGGAAAGAUGUGAGCGCUUGACAAAGGUGAGAAACUCAACUCUAAUGGGAUUACUAUUUAGCAGGAGAGUGGUUUACCAAAAUUGGAGAAGACUUAUGGUUUAAUUGUGUUGGCUUCUUGGAUUUGGCAGGCUUUUCAGUGUGGGAUUGUUUGGGUAAACUGUUCUCAGCCAUGCUUCUGUCAAGCUCCUUGGGGUGGUAAAAAACGUAGUGGUUUUGGUCGUGAAUUAGGGGAAAGGUAACCUUCUUGAUUCUGUAGGAGCUUUGGAAACAUGUUAGAUAUUUAUUUCAUUUUCUAUAUUGUGGAACAAGACAAAUUCAUUUUAAAUCAAUUGUUCAAUGAUAUCUGGCUUGUUAGGGGACAAAAUAUACUGAGGUAUUACCCUACUCGAGUGUUGUGACCCUCGUAUUCAGCUCGUUUGGAGAGUAAACAGCAAGCUGAUAUGGAUAUGACAUGAUACUACGAUGAAAAUUUUAAAUUUUUGGCACCUUGCAUCUCAAUCUUUUUACAAUGAUAUUAUUUGUCUUGCUUGUCUUUUUCUUUGUAAGAAAUUUUGUGGCACUCUGGUGGUUGUUAGUUCCAUUUUACUUUUAACAGCAAGAAAGAAUGAAACUUUUUACAGAAUUUGACAUGAUAUCUGGCUUGUAAAUUUCUUCUUGGGAAUCAUCCCAUGAUCAAAAAGGUUAAAGGUUCUUAGUUAAUGACUUUCACAUCUUAGAGCAUUUAUGGGUUUGCUUGGAUCAAAUCUUAAAAUCUAUCAUUCCUUUCAGGGGACUCGACAACUACUUGAAUGUGAAGCAGGUGACACAGUAUGUUUCCAGUGAUCCAUGGGGUUGGUACAAGUCUCCUUCCAAGCUAUAAAGUUCUUUUGUGAUUGUACUACUUCAAGGAGCAAGGGAAAAAUGCCAUUUGGAAUAUCUGGAGCAAGGGACACAAGGCAUUAGAAUGCCGGGUACCGUAUAAAUCAUGAUUACCUCACUGGACUCUUACUUGUUUGUAUUGUGGUUAAAACAUUCUCUAAAAUGUAAGAUUGGCAACAAGUCGAAGCAGGACAGUGAAAAAAUAUUUAUCGGAAUAAAAUUUGCUGGUUGGAAGUAGCGCCUGUUUGGUAGCAAAUCUUUGAACCCCAUUUCGGCAAACUGUUGCUUAUUGACAUGUAUCUCUUUAUUUAUCUGCUUCCAUAUCGCUCUUUACACCCAGAUGCAUUGCAGUACCUUGUGCAUGAGACUAGGGACAAUCGAGGAGAAGGGGAGGAUCUUAAGUUUCAUGUGCUUUCGUUGAAGUUUACUGUCCACUCAGUGUUAGAUUCUGUUAUAGUUAUAAAAUUUAGGAUUAACAUUUUAUGCACUAAUAGUUCUAACUUUUUUGGUACAUUGUCAGUGUAUAAUUUUUUUUACACUAGAAGAUUUAGAUCAUGUUAUAACAUAAAUCUAAGUUUGAACUUCAAAUCAUGCAUAUGUGACAUAUAUCCAAGACUAUUAGUUUAAAAAAAAAUCACUACACUGAUGCAUAAAAAGUUAUCCUAAAAUUUAUGAGUGCAUUUUUUAAGAUUGAUAGUGAUGCGAGUAGAUAGAUUUUAGCAACUGAAAAGAGAAUGUAAAUAUUGUAGAUAGAUCAGAAGCAUAGACUGUCUGAUACGGUUGCCACUUAUAAACGGUCAGGCUCUUUUUUAUUGUUAAUUUUAUUUUUUUUUUUCACUUGCACCAUACAUGGGAUUGAUUUUGCACUGUUCUUAUUGCAAUUUGUUUUUUCUUCGGGGAAGAGUUUCUUUUCUAUAAUUGGUCUUUCAGACAAAUUUUUUUUUCGCUUUGUAGCACUGUGGGACUUCAGUUUAAGAAGUGGGGAUUUUGUUGGUCUUUAACACGUAUUUAUUACUUUGUAAAAAUACUUUCAACGUAAAAUUAUCAAAUUUCAAGAAGCAUUGGUGUGUAGAAUUUGAAGUUUGAACCAAGAGGAUUUAAUAAACUGAUAAGAUAAGCCAGCCAUCUUUGGCAUAUAUUAUAUCAAGGAUCAUGAAUUUAUACAAGAGUUUUAUCUACAAAAAGCGAUCAUGAUUAGGGUAAACGAUAGAAACAUACAUGGAGUUUCUAAAAUUUAGGAGGUAAGCAUGAUUUAGUUUGUAUCAGUCGUCAUAUAGGUAUGUUGUUUAGAGUAGGAUUUUUCUUAAAUUGCUUGUUCUCUUCCCUUUAUUAUAUACUAGUGCGAAUACCCGUACUACGUACGGUAUUGAAAGAAAUUAAAAUAAGGAAUGAAUAAAAAAAUUUAAAAAAUCGUACCAACAUAAUUAAAAUAUAAGAUUUGUCUCAUACUAGUUCGAAGUAUGAUAAAAUGAGUACAUCAUUCGAGAAUUGCCUUUCUUUGGAAGAUGGAUCUUGAAAGAAUAAUAAAAAUUUAUAUUAGAAAAUGGAUGAUAUAUGAAUAGAAAUGAAUGUAAUCGCAUGGUUUAUUUGAUUUCAAAAUGAAAUAAGUAAACAUUAUGCAUUUGAUUUGAUAAUCUUGUAUGAAUGUGUAAACAUUCUUCAUACCAAUCAACAUUUUAGUACAAAAAUCAAUAUUGGUGGUUUAGCUAACUCUGUUGAAUUUUGUGGAGUUCGUACUAUAGAUGAGAAGACAUGAUUUUUGUAUGAAUUGUUCUGUUGAUUGAACAACCUUCCUCCAUUUUCCUUAGAAUUAAGACCGUACUGAAUUCGAAAUUGGUGUAUUUUUAUAUAGUUUAUAAAUAGUAUUAUACAAAAAAUAUGUAUCAAGAAAUUCUACCUUUUUUUGCAAUUUUUUAAGAUAAGAAGCAUCACAGCGAAAUACAAAUCUUGCACGUCUGUCUUGUACAUUAAAAUGCAGGCAGGUUAUCACUGGCAUCUCUAAUUUGUAUAUUAACAUUGUACAUGGUUGAGAAGAAAUAUUAUAUACAGUACAGAAAAAUAUGUUGAAAUUAAAGGUACAUGAAAUUAAUUACUUGACAAUAGUGUCGACCAUAUCAUUACAAUGCAUAUACACUAUUCUUGCAAAAUGACCUUCACAUGGGUGUCCACAAUUUUUGCAUAAUUCAUAGAACAUAUACAAGGGAUAAUUUCAGAAACCUCCCUUUGAGGUUUCUAACAAUCUCACUAGCCUCCCUGAAGUUCGUAAAAUUACACAAACCUCCCAUGAAGUUAAGGUUUUGAUAACAAAUUAGUCCAAUUAAAAAAGUAACAUUAAAAAAAUACUUUAAAGAGAGAGAUGAAACUUUUAUUUCAUAAAUACCCCUUAUGCAUGUAUAUAAGUUGUAUUAAUAAAAGAAUGAAGAUAAUUAAAAGUUAAAAAAAAUUAAUACACACAUUUCACCACUCACGAAGUUCACAUUUGAUUAUUUGGACAAACACAAAUAAGUAACAAAAUUAUACUAAUGAUUUCACAAGAUUCAACAAAACAAACUAGUCAUCUCUUUUGACAUGAUGUUUACUAUAAUUCUUGUGAUUUUGAAAAUAAAAAUUUUCAAAAUUUGCCCUUUUUUUUCUCCUUUCUCCUUUAUUAAUAUUUGACGAUUAAGUAAUUAGAUCACUACUUAACUAUUAGUAACUAAUUAAUGAAAAUAAAUAUUGAAAAAUUCUUUAAUAAUGAACGAUGACUUGUAAUGACAAAAUACAUCAAUUGAUAUAUUUAAUGGCGUUAUUUUGUGAUUGAUAGAACUUAACAAUGACUAGAAAUUAGUUGUACACAAUGUAAGAAGAAGGGUUUUGGUAGAAGAAAAAAUACAAGCCAAAAGAAGGUUAUUCAUGAGAAUAUUUUCUUUGAAACUCUUAAACUUGUAACAGUUGUAAAGUAAUUUUGUAAAAGUAAAGGAGAAAUUAGGAAAAGGAAAGACAAAGUUUAGAAAUUUUUAUUUUUAAAAUCAUAAGAAUCAUAGCAAACAUCAUGCUAAAAGAAAUAACUAGUCUGUUUUGAUGAAUCUCGUGGUCAUUAGUGUAAUUUUGUUGCUUAUUUGUGUUAUCUAAUUUAUUAAAUGUGAACUUUUUGAGUGGUGAAAUGCAUGCAUUAUUUGUUUCUAACUUUUAAUUAUUUUUAUUCUUUUACUAAUACAACUUAUAUAUAUAUAUAUAUAUAUAUAUAUAUAUAUAUGCAUAAGGGGCGUUUAUGAAAUAAAAGUUUCAUCUCUCUCCUUAAAGUACUUUUUUAAUGUUACUUUUUUUUACUUUUUUUAAUUGGAUUAAUUGUGUUAUCAAAUACUUAAUCUCAUGAGAGGUUUGUAUAAUUUUACAAAUUUUAGAGGAGGCUAAUGAGAUUGUCAAAAACUGCAAGGGAGAUUUCUACAAUUAACCGUAUUUUGAAACGUGAUUUCAAAAGUAUAAAAGCCUAAAUAUCAUCAUGCAAUUAACCGUAUUUUGAAACGUGAUUUCAAAAGUAUAAAAGCCUAAAUAUCAUCCAAGAAUGGCAUGUUGUGUUGCAUAGUACCAAUUAGAACUUUAGCAAGGAAAUAACCCCGAGUGGCCCUUCGGGGUUCGGUUCCGUGGCUGUAGUCCCAGUUGGGGGAGAGUCACGUCCAGGUAUCGAGUCCCCGGGUCUACCUGGUCGGUGAUGUUGGACAGCCUCUUCCGGCCACGCAAUGAGAUUAGUUGGGUCAUACGGUAACCAGUCCUCGGACCCAGAUACUCACUGCAUUGACAAAAAAAAAAAAAAAAGCCCCGAGUGCAGAAAAGUCAAAAUAUUCACAUGUACAUAGAAAAGUUGAGACGAGAAGCGUAAUUAUUAUUAUUACAAAGCUAGAACAAUACAAUACACAGUGGAAAGGGAAGAUCCCAAACUUGCAAUUUAUUCAAUAGCUAUGUUUACUUACAAAUUCAAACACUAAUUGGAAUGUAGUGACAGAACAAUUCCCUUUCCGGAUCAAGAACAGGCAUGAAUGGAAUUUCAUUAGUUGCUUUCCUUGCCACAUGCUACGGCUCAUCAACCAAGGGACAGAUGCUUGCCUGG